rnacentral:lncRNA from 1 species
ACCCUGCUAAUCCAACAUGGCUUUUACGACGAAAACGCCCCAAAGUUCGUUGCAUUUCCAGAUCAGGCAUCAAUCCUAUUUGGAUCAUUUCUUUAACAAGCCUCAAAGCUUCACCGAUUCUGUUAACGUUUAUAUAGCCGUUGACCAAGGUUUUAUAGGAAGCAAUAUCAGGCGCAUAACCCAUAAUCACCAUUAAGUUCAACACCACCUUCGCCUUAUCCAUUCUGCCCUGCAAACAAUGUUCACUAACCAGCAUACUGCAAGUUAUUGUGCUGAGUUUCAUACCGUAUUCAAUUGUUGCCUCAAAUAUUUUGUGAGUCUCUUCUGUCAUCCCACCUUUGUAGAUAGCAUCCAAAAGUAUUACCAAAGUAACGGUAUCAGGCAAGAGUCCCCGGCCUACCAUAUCAUCAAACAACCUUGUGGCUUCUUCCCAUUGAGCUGUACGGCACAUGCCAUUGAUUAAACUGUUGUAAGUGAUAACAUCUGGGGCAACACCUUCAUCCAGCAUUCUAUUAAACACCCUUGUAGCUUCUUCCCAUUGAGCUGUACGGCACAAUCCAUUAAUUAAGGAGUUGUAAGUCACAACAUCAGGCUUUUCCCCUCUAUGGAUCAUUUCUUCCACAAGAUUCAGUGCCUCUGCUGUCUUCCCUUCCUUGCAUAAAGCAUCCAGUACAGAAUUAUAUGUAACAAUAUCAGGCAAGGCUCCAUAACCAAUCAUGGUUUUAAAUAAACUCAUAACUUCCUCCCAGUUACCAGACUUGCAUGAAGUAGAAAUCAAGCAAUUAAAAGUGACAACAUCAGGCUUUAUGCCUCUCAUUGUCAUCUUUUCAAAUAGAGCAAGCGCUUCUUGAAUUCUUUCUUCCUUGCAAAGACCGCUGAUAAGAACAUUAUAUGUGUAUACAUUGGGUGAAAUUCCACUGUUAAGCAUGCAAAUCAAGAAGCUCUUGGCUUUUUCCAACCUCCCCAAUUGGCACAAUGCAUAAAUUAGAGCGGUGUAGGUUAAAACAUCUGGCUUGACUCCUUGAUCUUCCAUUGCUUCCAAAAGAGAGAGCACUUCUUCCCAGCGACUCGUGUUGCAUAACCCAUGAAUCAAUGUGUUAUAAUUGAAAACAUUCGGUACAACACUUUUGCUGAUCAUAUCUCGAAAUAGGGUCAAGGCCUCGUCUAUUCGUCUUUCUUUACAGAGGCUAUCAAUGAUUGGAUUGUAGCAUUCUUGGUUGGGCUUGAACCUUCCAUCUUCCCACAUCUUCAUUAGUAUCUCUAGUGCCUUAGAAGUUUUCCCAGCCUUGCAUAACCCAUUGAUCAUGGUAGCAUAAGUGAUUUCAUUGCCUCGUCCCAGGAACUGUACUUGCAAAGUCCGUGAAGUAAAAUACUUAUAGAAUGAGCAUCGGGUUGAAGACCAUAUUUAAGGGUAGUUGCUAAAACAGAGAAACCCAAGUCCACCCGGUUCAGACGGCACAAGCAAUUCAGAAAAAUAUUCAUUGUACAGACAUCAGGUCGGAAUUGAGCGCAACCCAUCAACUGUUUACACAUAGAAACCACAGCAGAAUACUCCUUCAUCUUGGAGAGUGCCCCAAACAAACAAUUGAAAGUCCAAAUAGAGGGCAAGGGUUUGGUUUGAAUCAUGGAAUCGAAGUAACCCAAUGCUUCAUCUUUCCCAAUUUUUCCAUAUUUGCAUCGAGUUUGGAUCAAAUUGUCCGAUUCCAAAUGUGUUUGUUUAAAUCUAACUGUACUAGUAGCAUUAGCAUUACCAGCAGCGGAAUGAAAUCCAUCUUUUUUGUGCAGAAAGGUAAAAAUGAAUGAAGGAGUACCUGUUGAGUUAGGAAGUCUCGUGGUUAUCACCUUUAUCUUCAUCUUCCACAGAUUCAGCCCAGUUCAUGAAAUCCCAUGAAUUUCAAUCCUUCUCUGGAAUCAAGCUGCAAUUGAAAAGAAACUGACUUCAAUUGGUUCUUGUUUCAAACCCUAAUUCUGUAUUCCGAAAAACACUACCCUUAUGCUCAUGACAUAAAAUAUGCAACAUGUAUUUACAGAGUGUUAUAAUCUAUGGAUGCGUUUGUUGCACCGGAUUAUCUUGAACUGGACUAGCUUCAUGAACUAAACUGGACUGGCUUAGACUAGACUAAACUGGACUGACUUAGUGAAGCGUUUAGUGCAGUGUCAGACUAAUAAGCAGGAUAACUAUUAAAUUUAGAUACUAUAUUAUUUAAUCUCUAUUUAAUAAUAUUUUAUUAUUAAUCUAUCAUUUUACUUGUUUCUAUAAACAAUCUAAUGGCCAGUAUUUUUUUUCCAAGCAUAUCACUGGCCCAUUCCUCUUUCCUCUGGUACUCUAUCCCUCCCUUCUCCCUCUUUUUAUCUGGUUCACCAUUUUUCUAGAGUUCUCUUCCACUCUCCGUAUACAUCUCUCUAUUUUCCACCACCCAUCUCGCUCCCAUCCCCUCUUUUCCACCAUCCACUCUCUCCCUAACCUCUCCCUUUUUUCCUUAUGCAGAGGAUUCAUCAGAGCUCACCACCCAACGCCUCCUCUGAUUUUCUCAGAAAAUCUCGGGAUUUUUUGGUGAUUUUGCGUUUUUGUUUUGAAUUUGUUCGGGAGAUUCGUCUGCAUGUGCUUUUGGGGGAAUUUUAGAUGUUGGAUUUUGAGAUUUAGGCAGUGGGUGGGGGUGGUUUUCAGAUCUACACAGGGAGUAAAGGAGCAGGAGUUGCAGACGACAAGGUGUGCAAACGAUGUUGGAGACGGGAUUAGCAAUCCCAUGGUUUUUGGGGGGUCUCACUAGGACGACUUAGUGAAGCUCAUAGUCGGAACGAGUCUGACUUAAUCCCAUUUAAGUUUAGUCCAGCUUGCACCAAACACGGGAUUAGUAGUCUUAGCAAAGUAGUCCAAUCCAGUGAACUUUAACGAGGGCAAACAAACACGCCCUAUAUAUCUAUAUAGGACUAAAAAGGUGAAGUUUUGGUUGCCACAAAAAAAAAAAAAGGUGAAGCUUUUAAAAAGUUCUUAAAUACCGCUCUAUUUUUUUUAUUUUUUUAAGGAAUACAACUUAAUUAAAAAGAAAAAAAACUAUAAAAAUACAAAAUAAAACUAUCUCAUGCACAUGAGUAAGUGGCCAUUUAUCACGCAGGUGAAAAUAUGUGGUGUCAUUGCAUGACGACGUGAGUUUGAAUCUUGUCGGGGGCUAAUCUAUCUUCCCGGAACUUAUUUUCAACACGCCCCCUCAUGUAUGACGAAUUUUGAAGCCUAACACUUUGACAACACAAUGGAAGUGACGUGGAGCACGUGUGACCAUUUGGCUUCACAUGUGGGACAACUUGCUCUGAUACUAUAUAUAUUCGUCUUUGGUAGUAGUGGAGGUAUUGAUAGUAGUGGUGGAAUGAGAAUCCUCGCCAGACUCUCUUUGUGAAGAUCUCAGGGAUUCUCAAAUCACAUCCGUUCAUCGUACUUCGUGCGGUCAAAAAUCAUUGUAAUUUUUAUUAUUUAAAAUUGAAUAUAAACAACACUUGACAAAAACUGGUUGUACGAUGUACGAUAAACGAAUGUGAUUGGAGGAUUCCCAGGAUCCUCACAAAGAAGAUCUAGCGAGGAUCGUUUCUUGUAGUGUUGACAAACGACAUCAGAGGUGGUAGUAAUGGUGGGAUUUAGGUGGUGACAACAACGAAGUAAUGGUGGUCAUUGCCCUAUACUUUGUUGUUUUUUUUUCGACAGAAAAAAAAAAGUACAGGGCAAUGACGACAUAGUGGUGCCAGCGGCGAUGACUAUGAUGGUGGCAAAUAAUGGUUGUGUUAACAAUGGUUGUGAAAAUGGUGGUUGAGAGGUGGUGGGGAUGAUGGUGGUAGAGAAUGUGGAGGUGGUGGAGGCCGUGGUGAUGGUAAUGGGUUGAAGAAUGUGAUGAUGCUGGUGAAAGGUGGUGGUGGUGGCCCCAAUGGUGAAACGGUGGAGGUAGUUAUAGCAUAGUGACAUACAUGAUUUUAUAGUGUAUCUUUUUAUUUUCUAUUAUUUGGGAAACUAUUUUUGAAAAACAAAGAAAACAUCUAUUUCAUGUUUUAUAGAACUUUGGCUAAACAGUAUUUUAUGAGUUUUUUGUUUUUUGAGUUUAUUUUCACAAAAUAGUUUGUCAAACGCAUUUUCACCCGCUUUUGUAUUUGCAAAAUGAAUCCUUAUUUUGCAAAACGUUAACGAACAUGUCCUUUUUUUUUGUUAUGAUACAACAAUGAAUGAGAGUUUUUUUGUUCUAUUAAAAUGACUAAAAGAAUUACACCUAAUCAAAGGAAUAGAAUCUUACCAUCAUAAAUGUGAAAAAAAAGAGCUAGAUGUAAAACAACUCUUCUUGAAGAAAUUUUUUAAAGUGCCUGAUAUUAAAGCAAGCACUCCACAUGUCAUAAACAAGUGGAGGGACACGAUAAAAGUACAAGAAAACCUAAAAGAUGAAUACAUGCAAAAAGUUGUCAAACAAAAAAAAAAAAAAAAAACAGACAAGGUUAUGACAAUAAAAAAACCACCUAAGGGAUAAACAUGUAAGCAUGAACACCCAAAAAAGAAAUUUAAAUGCAGUAAUGGAAGAAUGUGCAAGGGUGGACCAUGUCAAACAACAUAAGAUGAGAGCAGUCUAAAUUUGAUAAUUUCUAGCAACUGCAUUUCCUUUCCGAAAAGUAUGAGGUCGAUGAAAUUCCCAACAUGUUUCAAGUGACCAAGGAGGCAAAAAAGAGUCCAAUGAAAGAAAAGGUGAACAAGUGUCGGAAGCCAAACAACAAAUAAUCACACCAGAUGAAUCACUUGCAAGCUAGAGAUACCAUGUGUGUUUAUCAUUUUCCUAAGAACUAACAGUCUAUUUGGAUACGGUAAAAAAACACAGAAUUUUAAUUAAUUUUGGAAAUUUAAGAUGGGAAAGCAAUUUUCCCUUGUAUGAGAACUUGCCGCGAGAGAAAAGGAAAAUUCCAAGGGGAAAAAACGUGGAAAUCGAGGAUGAAGCUUCCCGAGUUCAAUUUCCGUCUAAAUAGAUGUAAUUUUCCAAUUACAACUAUGACGAGAAUCGCAAAUUCAUGUGGAGUAAAUCUUGAGCAUACCAAUUUUCACGAUUAGGACACCAAAUUGGGAUGAUUGGGUGCCAAAUUCCAAAUACCGGAAUCUUAAUUAUUGUAAAUUGUAACUCCCGUCGUUUAGAAUUCUAUGAAAAUUUAAAAAUUCAUCAUCCAAACAUAGUGUAAAGGUUUAACUAGUUCAGUUGUAAAUAUCAAUCAACGGUACCAUGUAUUUGUUCAUUAGUGACAUCCAAAAACUCACGCAAGCCACACUCACAAGGAGAAAUAUUCUGCAAAAAAAAUUGCCUUCUAAACCAAAACGUCUACGUUGAAUUUCCAGUUCAGGUAUCAAUACUUUUUCGAUCACUUCUUUAUACAAGCCCCGUAGCUUCAAUGGUUCUCUCCGAUGUGCCGCCACGAGCACUGAUCUUCAUCCAAUCCAAAGUUUACCACAACUAACAAUAUUGCGUGGUCACUAGAAGUUAGAAACUAACGAUAACUGAAGGCUUUUCAUCCUUAAUCUUCAAACCCUUGCAGAGGGACCUAACAACUACCCUGCUAAUCCAAUAUGGCUUUUAUGACGAAAACGCCCCAAAGUUAGUUGCAUUUCCAGAUCAGGCAUCAAUCCUAUUUGGAUCAUUUCUUUAACAAGCCUCGAAGCUUCACCUAUUCUGUUAACGUUUAUAUAGCCGUUGACCAAGGUUUUAUAGGAAGCAAUAUCAGGCGCAUAACCCAUAGCUGCCGUUAAGUUCAAGACCACCUUCGCCUUAUCCAUUCUGCCCUGCAAACAAUAUUCACUAACCAGCAUACUGCAAGUUAUUGUGCUGAGUUUCAUACCGUAUUCAAUUGUUGCCUCAAAUAUUUUGUGAGUCUCUUCCGUCAUCCCACCUUUGCAGAUAGCAUCCAAAAGUAUUACCAGAGUACCGGUAUUAGGAAAGAUUCCCCGGCCUACCAGUUCAUCAAACAGCCUUGUGGCUUCUUCCCAUUGAGCUGUACGGCACAUGCCAUGGAUUAAACUGUUGUAAGUGAUAACAUCAGGUGUCAGACCUCUUUGAGUCAUUAACUCUAACAUACUGAGGGCUUCCUCGGUCCUCCCCUCCUUGCAAAGAGAACUUAUCAUAUUAUUAUAGGUUAUAACACUUGGGGCAAUACCUUCAUCCAGCAUUCUAUUAAACCACCUUGUGGCUUCUCUCCAUUGGCUGGUCCGGCACAAUCCAUUAAUUAAGGAGCUGUAAGUCACAACAUUAGGCUUUUCCCCCCUACUGAUCAUUUCUUCCACAAGAUUCAGUGCCUCUGUUGUCUUCCCUUCCUUGCAUAAAGCAUCCAGAACAGCACUGUAUGUAACAAUAUCAGGCAAGACUCCAUAACCAAUCAUGGUUUUGAAUAACCUCACACCUUCCUCCCAGUUACCAGACUUGCAUGAUGCAGAAAUCAAGGAAGUAAAAGUGACAACAUUAGGCUUUAUGCCUUUCGUUGUCAUAUUUUCCAACAGAGUAAGCGCUUCUUGAAUUCUUUCUUCCUUGCAAAGAGUGCUGAUAAGAAUAUUAUAUGUGUAUACAUCUGGUGAAAUUCCAUAACCAAUCAUGGUUUUGAAUAAGCUCACACCUUCCUCCCAGUUACCAGACUUGCAUGAUGCAGAAAUCAAGGAAGUAAAAGUGACAACAUCAGGCUUUAUGCCUUUCGUUGUCAUAUUUUCCAACAGAGUAAGCGCUUCUUGAAUUCUUUCUUCCUUGCAAAGACUGCUGAUAAGAAUACUAUAUGUGUAUACAUCUGGUGAAAUUCCACUGUUAAGCAUGCAAAUCAAGUAGCUCUUGGCCUUUUCCAUCCUCCCCAAUUGGCACAAUGCAUAAAUUAGAGUGUUGUAGGUGACAACAUUAGGCUUGACUCCUUGAUCUACCAUUCCUUCAAAAAGAGAGAGCAUUUCUUCCCAGCGGCUCGUGUUGCAUAACCCAUGAAUCAAUGUGGUAUAAGUGAUAAUACCCGGUACAACACUUUUGCUGAUCAUAUCUCGAAAUAGGGUCAAGGCGUCGUCUAUUCGUCUUUCUUUACAAAGGCUAUCCAUAAUUGGAUUGUAGCAAUCUUGGUUGGGCUUCAAUCUUCCAUCUUCCCACAUCUUCAUUAGUAUCUCGAGUGCCUUAGAAGUUUUCCCAGCUUUGCAUAACCCAUUAAUUAUUGUAGCAUAAGUGAUUUCAUCGCAUGUGUAUCCCUUAUCUUCUAUUUCCUGGAAGAACUCCAUUGCCUCGGCCAGAGAACUAUUCUUGCAAAGUCCAUGGAGCAAAGUAUUUAUAGAAUGAGCAUCGGGUUGAAGACCAUACUUAAGGGUAAUUGCUAAAACAGAGAAACCCAAAUCCACCCGGUUUAGACGACACGAGCAAUUCAGAAAAAUAUUCAUUGUGCAGACAUUAGGUCGGAAUUGAGCGCAACCAUCAACUGUUUACACAUAGAAACCACAGCAGAAUACUCCUUCAUCUUGGAGAGUGCCCCAAACAAACAAUUGAAAGUCCAAAUAGAGGGCAAGGGUUUUGUUUGAAUCAUGGAAUCAAAGUAACUCAAUGCUUCAUCUGUCCUAAAAUUUCCAGAUUUGCAUCGAGUUUGAAUCAAAUUCUCCAAUUCCAAAUGGGUUUGUUUAAUUCUACCCGUACAAGCAGGAUUAGCAUUAACAGCGUCGGAAUGAAAUCCACUACUUGUAUUCUGCAGAAUGGUAAAAAUGAAAGAAGGAAGAUUACUUGGAGAUGGAGGUCUUGUGGAUAUCCUCUUCAUCUUCAUUUUUGCGACUGGCCGACUCCUGACAAAUUCAGUUCACGUCAAUUUUUUAGAUGAAUCUGACUUUAAUUUCAUUGCUCUUUUCAAACCCUAAUCCCCUUUUCUGCUCUCAGAGGCCCAACGACACGUUUGCUUGUUGGUUGACAAAGAUGCAGGUAAUUGAAUAUGAUAGGGAUUAGCAUGAACAGCAUUGGAAUGAAAUCCACUACUUGUAUUCUGCAGACUGGUAAAAAUGAAAGAAGGAAGAUUACCUGGAGAUGGAGGUCUUGUGGUUAUCCUCUUCAUCUUCAUUUGAAAGCUCUCUCCUGUUUUUCUUGGGGUUCGAGGACGAUUUUGGUAUAAAGGCAAGGAUUUGGCUCCAUUUGAGAGCUCUCUCCUGUUUUUCUUCUUAGUUUUCAGUGCUUAGAAUUCUUUGUGAUUUUUCUGCAUAGCUAAGGUUAGGAGAGAAACCUACACUAUAACUGUGUACUUUUAUUAUUUUGAUUUUAUUUCGGAUUUUCACCGUCAAUUUUAGGGGUGGGUUCGGUUCAAAUCGGUUCGGUUUUUUGUCAAAACCGAAACCGAACCGAAAUUUCGGUUCGGUUCAAUUUUUUUUCGGUUUUUUUCGGUUCGGUUUUUUUUCGGUUCGGUUUUUUCCGGUUCGGUUUCGGUUUUUUUUUUCAAAAAAUGAAAUAAAUUGAAAUCUUAAAUUUUAACAUAUCCAACACAAUCAUAACAUAAAUAUUCCGACUAAACUUAAAGAUAAUGAAAAUAAACAUUUAAAGUUCAACUAGAAUUAUAACAUAAAGAUUUUUUUUUAAUAUUUUGGGUUUAAAGUUUAACUGUAAAUAGAUUUCUUUUUAGACGAUGAUGAUGGAGUACGACCUUAUUCAUUCCUCUCUCUCUCUCUCUCUCUUUCUCUCUCUCUCUCUCUCUCUCUCUCUCUCUCUCUCCAUGUAUUCUUCACUAGCAAUAAGAUAAACAUUCUAUAAUAUACUAUUUAUUUUGAUUAUUGUCUAGGUAACAAUUUUUGAUAUUUUCUUUAUCUUUAUGGUCCGAAUUUGUUUUAUCCAUAUAUGUGGUUACAUAAUAUAAUUUCUACAUUCUGUGUUCAGCUUCUACUGCCAGCAAAUUUUGAAGAGGUGUUCAUCAAUGUUUUUGAAUAUAUUGAUAUACUUUUCAAAAUUGUUGAGCCACGGAAGCUACUAUACUUGGCCAUAGGUGAGAAAGUUUGAAUUUUGUUUUUGAUCUCGUAGUGUUUAAUAAACUCAUGAGACUUUUAUACGCUGUUUGUUUUCCCUAAUCAUCUGCAAUGCAAUUGAGAUAUGUGUUCUUAUAUAUGUGUUGCACUUAAUGAUAUAAACUAGAAAUAUUGCAUGUAAUGGUAUAAGUUCUAAUUUUUAUUGUAGAUGGAGAAGCUGAGAAGACAAUUUGAAUUGGAAAGCAAACAAGUCCUACCAAAGCAGCAGUCCGAAGUAUCAUAUUCUAAUAUAAUAAAUUCAAAUAAUUAAAUAAAUAAAAUUAAAAAAAUAUUAAUUUAAUUAUCGGUUCGGUUCGGUUCAUUUUUUUCAAUUCGGUUCGGUUUUUUCGGUUUCGGUUCGGUUCGGUUUUCGGUUUUUUCGAUUUUCGGUUUUUUGAACCCACUCCUAGUCAAUUUUACAUUGUGGAUGUUCAGUUGAAUUUUUUAUUUAAUCUAAUUUCAGAUUGAUGAAUAUUAAUUAUGAUCAAACAUUUUUUUUUUUUUUUAUAGUUUUGUUUCAACAUUUUUUUUAUAUUUUGUCGUCGUAGGUAUAAACUAUUAUUAGAAUUUUAAGUAAAGUGUAGCAACGAUCUCUUAACUUUAACUCAAUUGGAACAAUGGUCCCUCAACUAAAAAUUCAUUACCACUGAUCCCUCAACUCAUCAAAACAUGCAGCUAUGUUCCAUCAACUAAAAGUCUAUUACUCUUGGUCCCUCAACUUUAACUCAAUUGUAGCAGUGAUUAUUUCAACAUAACUCAUUUUGACAAAACUCUAACGAAGUUGACGAAAAUGGUCAUAGCUACAUGUUUUGAUGAGCUGAUGGACCCUAAUUGUAGCCAUGGUCCUUCCAACAUAAUUCAUUUUGACAAAAUUCUGAAGUUAAUGAAAAUGACCAUAGUUACACAUUUUGAUGAGUUGAGAGACCAAUGAUAAUGAAUUUUUAGUUGAGGGACCAUCGCUCCAAUUUGAUUAAAGUUGAGAGACCAUUGCGACAAUUUACUCGUAUUUCUAUAAGAAAUCUAAAGGGCUUUAUAUAGUUCGAGUUCGAACAUCCAAAAUAGAGAUUUAAUCACCAAAAGCUUUUAUAUUGAGAAAACUUAAUUGUCAUAUCUUCCGAUUGAGAGAGCAUGUUGUUUUGUAUAUCAGUUGAGUCAUAAAAAAUGAAUCGAAAUAGUGAAAUUCAUAUUGUAUAUGGGCGGAACCCCAAUGCUUUAAUGUUACGUUGAAUAUUUUUUCUAGAAGUUACAUCAUAUUAUGCACAAUGUGGUUAUUUGGAUAUUCUUUUUCAAAUGCUUUCUUUGUUGAUUUGUCUUCCUCUUCUUGCCACUUGUGGGUACUUGUUCUAAUGUUAUUUGGAGCAUAUGGUAUCUAUGAAACAAGAUCCGUUUUGAGGGUGCUAAGCUAUGUAUGGCUUACGCCAAGUCUAGGAUUCUUAUGUGUACUGAAGAAUCCGUUCCUUUGGUUUUUUUUUGGGAGUUUUAACGAAAAGUCCACGGUACUGUUCACUUUAACGAAAAACCACAUUUUUACACUAAAAAGUCAAACCUGAUACUAUUCACUUUACCCUUUAUUUUGUCCUUAUCGUUAAAACUCAAAGUUUUCAAGCCAUUUUCAUUAGUUUUUUUUUUUUUUUUUUUCCUUCAGUCCCUUCAGCGUCAAGUGCUCCUAAUUUUUUAAAUUUUAGGUGUUUCUCCUUUGUUGUCCACUGCCCCUUGUUUCCUCCCUGUUGUUUGGCAACCUCCUAUGAUCCGGUGGAUCGAGGUAAAUACUAAUGCGUCAUUCAAGUCUACAGGCCAUGCAGGAUAUGGUGGUGUAUCGUGAUUCUCAAGGUAUUGGGUGCUUUUGUAUUUGUCUUUUCCAACUUUAUACGUAAAAUAAUGUCAAGAGGAAAGCACAUGGCAGGAACAUAUCAUCGUUCAUGUCUCAUUCCAAAGUCAACUAUUGAUUGAAAUUCUAUUGAAACAAUCAUCUGGUUGGCUUCAAUGGCUAAAGAGGCAACAGCAGCUGCCUCAUCUUUUCCUCCUCAAUAGCAGCUGCCUCAUCGUUCAUGUCAACAGCAGCUGCCUCGUUUCACCAAUUCAUGGAAAUACCAUGUAUUCUUGAGUUUCAGAGGCAAGGUCACGCGCUACAGUUUCACAUGCCAUUUGUAUAGCACUUUGCGUCAAAAAGGAAUUUACACCUCGCUGGAUGAUUUUCUUUCAAGAGGAGAAAUGUCAACAACGCUCCUCAAAGCGAUUGUAGAGUCGAGGAUUUCUGUCAUUGUAUUCUUUGGAAACUAUGUCUCCAGAAGGUGGUGCUUGGACGAACUUGUGAAGAUCCUCGACUGCAAGAAAUCAAAUCAACAAAUGGUGGUACCGGUAAUUUACAAGGUGAGUCCCUCGGAUGUGUGAAAUACAUCAUUACACUAUUACCUCGCUUUCUCCUUCACUUACCUUUGAUCCUGUACAUCUUCAGUUAAUGGAAGCAUUUAAGAGUAGAAUGUGCCUAAGGAUAUGGUAAAUUGUCAACAUCUUAAGGAUUUUAAAUAAAAGCCAACAGAAAUGUUUCCACAGGAAGAGUCAACCGAAAGCUUGCAGAUUGUAUAAAACAUCAUAUCGCUGGUUAUGUUUAAGAAACAUCAACAAUGCCAACAAUUAGGAUACAACUAUAUAUAUGUUGGCCAAUUUGAGCAUUUACCCUGCUAAUCCAAUAUGCCUUUUACAACGAAAACGCCCCAAAGUUUGUUGCAUUUCCAGAUCAGGCAUCAAUCCUAUUUCGAUCAUUUCUUUAACAAGCCUCAAAGCUUCACCCUUUCUGUCAACGCUUAUAUAGCCGUUGACCAAGGUUUUAUAGGAAGCAAUAUCAGGCGCAUAACCCAUAAUCACCAUUAAGUUCAAGACCACCUUCGCCUUAUCCAUUCUGCCCUGCAAACAAUAUUCACUAACCAGCAUACUGCAAGUUAUUGCGCUGAGUUUCAUACUGUAUUCAAUUGUUGCCUCAAAUAUUUUGUGAGUCUCUUCUGUCAUCCCACCUUUGCAGAUAGCAUCCAAAAGUAUUACCAAAGUAACGGUAUCAGGCAAGAGUCCCCGGCCUACCAUAUCAUCAAACAAUCUUGUGGCUUCUUCCCAUUGAGCUGUACGGCACAAUCCAUUAAUUAAGGAGUUGUAAGUCACAACAUCAGGCUUUUCCCCUCUACGGAUCAUUUCUUCCACAAGAUUCAGUGCCUCUGCUGUCUUCCCUUCCUUGCAUAAAGCAUCCAGUACAGAAUUGUAUGUAACAAUAUCAGGCAAGACUCCAUAACCAAUCAUGGUUUUAAAUAAUCUCACACCUUCCUCCCAGUUACCAGACUUGCAUGAUGCGGAAAUCAUGCUAUUAAAAGUGACAACAUUAGGCUUCAGGCCAUUCGUUUUCAUCUUUUCAAACAGAGUAAGCGCUUCUCGAAUUCUUUCCUCCUUGCAAAGACGGCUGAUAAGAACACUAUAUGCGUAUACAUCGGGUGAAAUUCCACUGUUAAGCAUGCAAAUCAAGAAGCUCUUGGCUUUUUCAAACCUCCCCGAUUGGCACAAUGCAUAAAGUAGAGUGUUAUAGGUGACAACAUCUGGCCUGACUCCUUGAUCCACCAUUUCUUCAAACAGAGAGAGCACUUCUUCCCAGCGACUCAUGUUGCAUAACCCAUGAAUCAAAGUGGUAUAAGUGAUAAUACCCGGUACAACACUUUUGUAGAUCAUAUCUCUAAAUAGGGUCAAGGCCUCAUCUAUUUGUCUUUCCUUACACAGGCUAUCUAUGAUGGGAUUGUAGCAGUCUUGUUUGGGCUUGAACCUUCCAUCUUCCAACAUAUUCGUAAGUAUCUCGAGUGCCUUAGAAGUUUUCCCAGCCUUGCAUAGUCCAUUGAUCAUGGUAGCAUAAGUGAUUUCAUCGCAUUUGUAUCCCUUCUCUUCUAUUAACUUGAACAGCUCUAUUGCCUCGGCCCAGGAACCGUACUUGCAAAGCCCGUGAAGUAAAGUGUUUAUAGAAUGAGCAUCGGGUUGAAGACCACAUUUAAGGGUAAUUGCUAAAACAGAGAAACCCAAAUCCACCCGGUUUAGAUGGCACAAGCAAUUCAGAAAAAUAUUCAUUGUACAGACAUUAGGUCGGAAUUGAGCACAACCCAUCAACUGUUUACACAUAGAAACGACAGCAGAAUAUUGCUUCAUCUUGGAGAGUGCCCCCAACAAACAAUUGAAAGUCCAAAUGGAGGGCAAGGGUUUGGUUUGAAUCAUGGAAUUAAAGUAACCCAAUGCUUCAUCUUUCCUAAUUUUUCCAGAUUUGCAUCGAGUUUGGAUCAUACUCUCCGAUUCCAAAUGGGUUUGUUCAAUUCUAUCCGUACAGGUAGGAUUAGCACGAACAGCGUUGGAAUGAAAUCCACUACUUGGAUUCUGCAGAAAGGUAUAAAUGAAAGAAGGAAGAUUACCUGGAGAUGGAGGUCUUGUGGUUAUCCUCUUCAUCUUCAUUUGAAAGCUCUCUACUGUUUUUCUUGGUGUUCGAGGACGAUUUUGGUAUAAGGGCAAGGAUUUGGCUCCAUUUGAGAGCUCUCUCCUGUUUUUCUUCUGUUAGUUUUCAGUUCUUACAAUUCUUUGUGAUUUUCGUUAACGGAAAACUAUUCUGCAUAGCUAAGGCUAGGAGGAAACCUACACUAUAACCUUGUACUUUUAUUAUUUUGAUUUUAUUUUGAAUUUUCGCGGAAUUUUACAUUGUGGAUUUCCAAUUAAAUUUCUUAUUUAAUCUAAUUUCAGAUUGAUGAAUAUUGAUUAUGAUUCAUAGGAUAUACCAUGUUUUUAUUAUAGUUUUGUUUCAACAUUCAUGCUUUUAGUGAAAUGUAUAAAUUGGUUGUUUGGUAUGAUUUUGACGGCAUAGUUUUUUUUUAUAUUUUGUCUUCGUAGGUAUAAACUAUUCUUAGGAUUUUGAGUAAAUUGUAACAAUCAUCCUUUAACUUUAACUCAAUUUGAGCAAUGAUCCCUUAACUAAACAUCAAUUACCAUUAGUCUCUCAACUCAUCAAAACGUGCAGAUAUGGUCCCUCAACUAAAAAUUCAUUACCCUUGGUCUUUCAACUUUAAUCCAACUGGAGAAAUUAUCUCUCAACUUUAAUCCAAUUGUAGUUUUAGUCCUUCCAACAUAACUCAUUUUGACAAAAUUCUGACGAAGUUGAUGAAAAUGACCAUAACUACACGUUAUGAUGAGUUACGGGACCCCAAUUGUAGCAAUAGUUUUUCUAACAUAAUUCAUUUUGACAAAAUUCUAACGAAGUUAAUUAAAAGGACCAUAGUUACACAUUUUCAUGAGUUGAGGGACCAUAAUAAUGAACUUUUAGUUGAGGGAUCAUUGCUCCAAUUUGAUUAAAGUUGAGGAGUCAUUGCUACAAUUUACUCUUAUUUCUAUAAGAAAUCUAAAGGGCUUAUAUAGUUCGAAAUCCAAAAUGGAGAUUUAAUCACCAAAAGCUUUUAUAUUGAGAAAACUUAAUUGUCAUAUCCUUCGGUUUUUUAUUUCUUCGGUCCCUUCAGCGUCAAGUGCUCCUAAUUUUCUAGAUUUUAGGUGUUUCUCCUUUGGAUUUUUAGAUGUACAAGAGUAGAAACCUUCCGUACAUAAGCUUCACAUCCUCCCUCAACAAUUUGUGUGUCUGUUUGUCGAAAUUAUUCAUGUCUUCCUAUGUUACGGUUUAAAAAAGGAUUUUGAUAUUGUCCCCAGUCAAUCUGAGGGUUCUAUUUGAUCUCUAAGAAUUGUGGGAAAGAACAGGCAAAUGCAUCUAGACGGGUGGUUUGGUGGUUAGGAGACUUGGAGGGCCAAUGGAGGCAGUCUAUUCUUGCCAUAUUUUAUUUUUUAGGUUAGUAUAUGCAGCUUUAAAUAAAUGAUGUUAUAUCAUCACAAUCUCAUUGCUGGAUUUUAUUCAGCGUUGGUUUCAAUAUGAUAGUAUCAUAUUUAGACUCAAAUGCUAAUAGAUUAUGAGUGGUUUUUAAUCUUUGAUGAUUUGGCAUCUGGUUUUAUCUUUCUUAUGUUGUUUUUUUUAAUUAAAUUUUUUGGAAUUUUCAGAAUUUUGGGUCGUUGGAGGCAAAAUUUGGUUGCUUACUUGACACGAUGAGGUAUAUAAUUAUACACCCAAUUGACUUUGAUCUUUAUGUUUUUAAUAAUUGAUAAAGAGUAGUGUUAAUAAUUGAGAAAUCUUAAGAGAUUUGUUUGGUUUUGAAAUUCCAUCAAAAGCUAUGAUUUUUGUGCGAUUGAUUUUGUGAGGGAGAUAAGACACUACUUUCUAAUUUGGUUUUUUCUCCCUCCAUUUUCAAAUUCCUUCAAAAUCUUGCAAUUUGCCUUUCUAAAUUAGCUUAAGAGUUUUCAUAAAAUUGAAUACUUCGUUAAUUUGAUCAUUGAGAUUGGUUCUGAAAUUCCAAUUUGUUUAAGCAAUGACAAAUUAGGAUUGGUUUUUAAAUUCCCCAUUCAGAAAUACAUAGCAAUUUCAGCUACAAUUUGUUAAGCAAAUACAUGGCUAAUAAUUAACGUCUGUUUACUCUAAAAAAAAACCUUUCCCAAAUCCUCAAAUACAUAGCUAAUUCAAUUAAACGCACAUUUGAUUGCUGCAAUCAAUGUCAGAUAUUCCUUGGGAGUAAGCAUUGUUAAAUUUUAAUUGCAAAUGGCAGCUGAAAUUAUCUUAUUUAUUACCACUAUUGAUUUGGAUAUGUAAUACACAAUGUUUAGAUCAUUUGAUCGGUACUUAGUUAAGUUUAAUACUAGCGGUUUGGCUAUGAUUAAAUUGAUCCGGUCUUGAAUAGUGUGGCAUGUGAGAUGAUAAUAGACUAACAGAGGAAAAGGAGUUGAUGCAUUUGUGUUUGAUUUACAAAUUUUGGCAAAUCCUUGCCAUUUUUUUGGUUUCCUGGUGAUUUAUAAUUAUCUUCAUAACCAAAAAGCGAUAACUUCGAGUUUCUAGAAGUUUUAAUGUGUUUUGCGUUCUGCAUUUUUGUAACGUUCGUACAAGUUGUCACUAAGAUCUUUUGGUUUCUAGCUACUUUAGUUUUUCAGCAUUGAAUUGUAGGUUAGAGUUUUUGAUUGAGUUCUUAUUUAAUUUCAUAUUGGAAUGGGUACAAUAUGAGCACUCCUAAAAUUGGAAAGUUCUCCGAAGAUUGCGAGUAUGGUUGUGUCAUAUAUGGUUUAUUGUCCAUGCAAGGAUGGCGUACCACAAUGGAGGAUGCUGUGAGUGCAUUAAACUUUUCUCUUCCUAUUUGAAGUUGUUUUCAGAACAUAAGUUCUGUUAUGUCCAUUUUCAGAAGUUUCUACUGUUGUAUCAUUUUCCGUCUUUAUUUAGCAUGCUAUAGUUUAGGAUUUCACUAAAUAUGAUUUUACUUGACAUGUUCAAAUUCUCUUAAUCAUGUUCUUGAAUUUUACUAUAUGUAUCGUGUUCUUUGUAUUUCAUUAUCUGAACUCUGUUAUUUGAAUUUGGUUACUUGAAUCGUGCCUAAUAUUUGAUGUGGCCACUGGCUUUGUAUGGUUGGCUGGUGUGCUUUGAGAGUGUUUUUAGUCAAUGGGAGACGGAGGAUAAAGGUGUGGGGCAGCGAAGUCAAGUGGGAUUUGGAAUUUAGGAUGGUAGAAUUUUUGCUAAUUUAUGGGAUUAGAAGUCUUCCUUUAUUUUUGUCUUGGUGUGAUCAAUUGCAACAAAGAAUUUUCAUUAAAUUGAGGCAGUGAACCUACUAAUUUUCAACUGUUGUUUAUCUACAAUCUUCUCCAUUCUCUUGGACCAAACAUGAAAUCCCAAACACCGUAUCACCACAAAGCAAGCAAGCUGAAAAGCAAACCAACAAACCUUUUUUCAGAGGCACUUAACAGAACCUUUCUAUGGGUUAAUUGUUGUUUCAAUUAUACCGGAUUGAAAACGAGUAUGGAACCAUUGGUCAAGCAUAUGGGGCUGUUGCUUCUUUUUCUCAGGGAAAUAGAGCAUACUAGAAAGUUUUGCCCGCGCGUUGCUGCGGGAUUGGAAAUUGUGUGAAAAAUUAUGUUUUACAUGUAUAAACACAUCAACUUAUAUCACAUGUAAUUAAAUCAAGCAAUCUCUAAACAUGAGAAAUGGAUCUUAGAAAGUAUAAACCCUACCUCAUAAUAUUAAUACAAUUAACAAAUUCCCAGUGCAUGAUCACAAAAAGGUAUAGAAAAGUAAUUCAAUUUCUAAAUUUCAAAAAUGGGAAAGAUAAAUUUAAAAAUAAAAAAAAAGGGUCUAGGGUUUAGGGUUUAGGGUCUAAGUUCUCAGUUCUCACCAUAACGAAAAUUAUGAUCUCAUUUUAACAUAAAACUCAGGUUUUAUUUCGGUCACCAGCAUUAUAAAGCUAGUGAUUUCAACUUGUGCAAGCAAACAACUGAAUUAGACGUAAGCCUAACUUCAAUUUAACCAAAUAAAAAAAAACAAUCACGAUCAAACUAACCACUCUUAUUCUCAUAUGUAGAAGCUAUCCUUUGUUUUGCCUUUGUGAGCAGUGCACUUUCCAUUCUCUACACACAAAAUGAUCAGCAACAUUAAAAAACUUAAUAAAUUGUAUGUAUACAUUACUAUAUAUGUAUUUGGACAUAAAGUACAAAAAUUUACUAACAAAUUAACAAAAGAAGUAAUUAUGAAUUGGAAUUAAAUGAUAUUAUAGUUGUUAAAAAAAUACCUGACCAAGUUUUACAAAUAGGAUCAUAAAUUGUUAAAAAAAAUAACUGCACUGAAAUAUCUAAUUACUCAAAUCUAUAAUUCUAUUAAAACACAUCACUGAAAACCCCAAGGAGAGGUGAAUAUUCCUAACCUUGCACAGUUAAAUUUGCAUUUUGUUUGAGGGGAGAAAAAUGAUCAGAACUGAUAAGUCAAUAGUUAAAUAGGUUUACUCUGGUGUCAAAUAUUUUUUAAUACAUACAUAAUGUUGUCUAUUUAAAUCAACAUUGAUUCUUGCAUACCUUCGGUUAUAUAAUGUUUGGAGUUGAAUGUAUAUAUACCCAAAUGGGAAUAAUUCUUUAUCCGAAACUUAGAAAAAACCAACUCAUCCGAGAACGCAAUGGAACUUAGCUGCAACUCCAAUUUAAUCAAUGUCAAUUAUUAUAUUGAAACAAUGUGAUCAAACUUAAUCAAAACUCCAAAUCCACCAAAAGUUUAAAUUUCUUACCUUGAGUGCUUCAGAAAACGACGGCAUUCUAGCCUGGAAAUAAAAUCCCCAAAAUCAGAAAAAUGAAAUUUGCACAGAAUCUUUGGAGGCCAAUUUCGUGAAUAUUUUGCAAACUAUUAGAAAUCCUAUUUAAAAUUUUACUCACGUUAUCAACAAUGCCAGCCUUUGCCUCAUCUCUCCUUUUACGUUGGCUUGUAUAAGUUUGUUUUCAAUAAAACCCUGUAAGAAAGGGAAAGUAGAGGAAAGUUUAAUGAUAUAAACAAAUAAUAGAACAGAUCCCAUAAGUUCCCUAAAAUGAAAGCUACAAUAUGCACAAAAUGUAACUAUUAGUAAUAAUAACCAAUGUAAUCAAACAUGAAUAAAAUGGUAUCGUACAAUUGUGUUCUUUUUCAUACAGCUCUGAGGUUGAGUCUUAUGAAAUGGCAAGUUUGAUACAAAUUAUAUUUCCGGAAAAAAUUCCUCUAAUCAGAUUAUCUACCCGCUUGACUUCAUCUUCAAUAGCAUCAUUAAGAUCUCAUUAAGAUCCACUACAUUCUCAAACAGGGACAUUGCCUUGGCAUUCUCUUCAUCCUGAAGAGUUUAAUCAUGAUCACAAUUCCGAACUCCAAGUCAAUCAAUUAUCUACAUCAAUGGACUAAUAAAGUGUCCAAUAACGAUAAAAAGUACCCACCUUGACUUUCUUGAAUAUAUCUUGGAAUCCCAACUCCCUAAGAACUUGCUCCCGAAGUCUGCAAAGAAGCUGGAUUUCCCAAACACAGCAGGUAAAAAAAAGAAACUUAAAUGCUAAGAAAACGAUGCUGCGAUAAAUCAUGACUACAACAUAAUAGAAAGUGAGAAAUCAACUCAAAUCAAAAUUUUGAGCUUACAAUGCAAUCCGGCGGGCCGCUGUGACUCUCAAGAUCCUUCUUCAAGUCCUCCAGUAUCUCAGUGUACCUUUCAGGCAAACACAUAAACAAAUUGCGGGCAUUUCCAAAAACCCAAUUCACUCAUCACAAAAAAAUCAGUAAAGUGUGUACCUCUGAGCAAAUUUCUCAGGUCUGGCCGGAGCGUCGGGAACCGAUGCGCCAGACUCAGCUCGUUUCCUGCCGAAAACCAAUCAAACCCAUUAACGAAAAACCCAAGAAAUUAAGGUUUAUGAUGGAGGUUGGGGAAAUGAUGAGGAUUAUCACUUGAAGGAGGGGGUGGAGUUGUAGAAGAGGUCGAUCCAAGAGAGCUCAGUGGAAGUGGGCUUUCGGGAAUUGUCGGAGGGAAAUCUGUAGGGGAUGGUGCAGGCUCUGUAGUUGAAUUCGAUCGGCAUCGUCAACAGUGGAAAUAAAGAGUGAAUUAGAAGAUUUAUCAGAGAGCUUACCUCUGCAGUUGUUGCCACUGCGCCUUCAUGUUUCACCCAGAUGCAGACUUCAAUCUAUCUAAAACUGCAAGAUCCACACAUAAACCACAAUAUUACAAUUCUUUUCAACUUAAUUACCCAAAAACAACAAACUUUAAAAUACCCCAAAUACAUAGCACCCCUAAAUUCACCAUCGUCUUUGACAAACGAAACUCAGCUCUCAGCGAUGGCGACAUUCGGUUCGGGUGAGUUGUCAGAGGUGAUCGGCUAGCAUAAAAAUCGACCCCAUCAAUACUCACAUCCCAAAUUUCAAAAAUUUUAUCAAAAUUGAUGCAAAACUAACUAAAACCCAUCAAAAUCAGGGAAAAAGAUGAGUUUUACCCGAGGAAUCGAGCUGAACAUAUAUCUUCUGGGUUCUACCUUUACCUGCAUAGAAAGUCAAAAAUUAAAAACCCACAAACCAAAAACUUAAAAUAAAAAAAAAUCAAAUUUCUUUCUCUAGAGGUUUAGACAAAGAAACAUCUUCACCUGCACAGAAAGUCAAAAAUUAAAAACCCACAAAUCAAAAACUUAAAAACCAAAAAAAAAAAAUCAAAUUUCUUUCUCUAGAGAUUAUGACAAAGAAACCUGAAGAGAUCUCUGACGGGUUUCCAAGGGAGAGGUCGAAAUGGAAGAGAUGCCGUCCAACGGAUGGGGAGGAGGAAGGAAGGAAGAACAGAGCAUCGUUUCUAUUUUUCCAGAAAAAUAUCUGCACAAAUUUUGACUAGUUCAUCAUUCUUAGCAAGAAAGUGAGAGAGAGACACAGAGAACCCCAGAUCGGAGAGCCAGAAAACGUGAGGAUUGAGAGGAAGAAAAGCGUUUGUGAGACACGGAUCGAAAAGGAUGGAAGGCUCCAGAAGACCAACGUGUCGACAUCCAAUGGAGUGUGAGAACCAAAGCACCAAGGAAAUCGAAACCGGAGAGGAUAAACGCGCGGCCUCGGAGAGCGAAGUCAUUUUACUGUAGAAAAGAGGGUAAAAAAGUGGCUUAACAAACGAAUUGAGGGGCAUUUUGGUCCGCACACUGCCCUAAAACAGUAACCAAAUGUUUGGGUUUAAUAUAUAUAGAAUUUUACAACCAUAUGUUUUGUAAUCAGCUCGGUUGAAUGUAUAUAAAAGUUAAGCUGCUUAUCUUACCGACACUGUUCACUCAUCUAUCCCUUUUGUUCAUUCAUGAUUAUAUUGAAUUUUUUUUUCAGGUUAAAUGUGUCUUAUUAAUAUAGUUAAGGCUAAUGCAUUCAAGUCCCGCAGCAACGUGCAUACAUAUUACUAGUUACUUUAGUUUAAAGAAAGGGGAGAAAUUGCCCUGUACGAAUGUGCAACGUUUGUGUCCGAAUUUUUUAUUGCGAGUCUCAAGGCCUACAUCUAAGAUCCUAAAAGGCAUCUUUCAGAACUUACUUCAUUCUCUUCUUGCAGCACAUCAGCAAGCAAGAGCCUGACCAUACAUCCAAAGUCUUGAGAAGCUUCCAAAUAAAAUAAAAAUUUUCAUUUGGCGAUGUUGUAAUAAAGCGUUGGCAGUUAGACAUAAUCUUCAUCGGAGGCGCAUGAGGGUUGAUAACGUCUGUGGGGUCUGCGGCGCAAUGGAGGAGACGGAAAAUCACCUAUUCUUCCAAUGUGAAUUCAGCCAUCGUUUCUAGUUCUGCUCUCCUUUGCACCUAAACUCCCAUGGUAUGAAUGGUGCAGAUUUUCUGACUAAUUGGGAACUCUUCCAUAAAAGUGUCAAGGGAAAGGGGGAAGUAGAUGAGAUACUGCAAGAUUUCGCCUUCGGCCUCUGGAGGUUGUGGAAGAACAGGAAUGAAACAGUCUUCAACGGAACGCAACAUCAACCUCUGGACGUUCUGAACAUCUGGAGGAGCAGUCUGGCUGAGUUCAGAGAAGCCACUACCAGGACGGCUGAUGGUGAUCGUCCUCCCCGUGACGCGGGGACUUCGGAGGUGAGGCGUCGGGGCGCUAUGUGGACGAAACUUGAGUUUGGCUUUAUCAAAGUAAAUACGGAUGCUGCGUGGUGUAAGAAUUCCCUUCGUAUGGGUGUGGGGUGGGUGUGCCGAGACUUUGCCGGUGUACUCCAAGCUGCAGGGGGUCGGGCACCGGGCUAUGCCACUCUGCUGCGGCGGGCGAAGCCCAUGCCAUUCGUGAGGCCAUUUUGGCUUGCACAUCGUUGGGCUUUAACAAUAUAAUCAUCGAAUCUGAUGCGAUGGUGAUCAUACAAAUGCUUAGGAAGGAAAUACCUUCUGAUUUUAGUCUGGAUUGUAUUCUUGGUGAUAUUGAGGUUCUAGCACGUAGGUUGACGUCUGUUUCGUUUGCCUUUGUGUCUAGGGAGAGCAAUGCUGCGGCUCACUCAGUGGCCAAGUAUGUUUUCAAGCAAGGCAAAGAGUUCAUUUGGGACUGUAUUGGCCCGGAUUUUUUGUUUAAUACUCUUGCAAGGAUGUAAACAUCUCUAUUCGUAUUUAAUGCAUCUCUAUCUUUGGGAAAAAAAAAGUCUUGAGAAGCUAUGCUGAGUACCGAAGACCACCUUUUCGAAAAAAUCUUCGUCCGAACAAGAAGUCUUGCUUUCCUUAACAUCAUAAUCCACGGUGCUUUUUCUGAACAAUUAUUGCUUUGUAUUCCACACAUUUACCUUUGGAGCAAGUGGAACUUUUCUUUUAAAAUAAAAGAAAGCCGAAUGGUGGAGAAGUUGGAGGGGACAAUUGUUGCAAGUUGUUUGAAAAAAAAAAGGAAAAGAAAAGAGCACUUGCCUUUGUGGCUUUGAAAAGUGUGUGUGUUUUGUCGACUCGCUCUUGGGGCACUUGCCUGUGCCUUCUCAUUGAGUAUUGGAGCUUUAAAAACACAGGUGUCUGUGUUUUGUCGACGUAAUUGAUGGUGUUGAUGUUAAAAUGUGAUUCAUGAUGAUGAAAGAAAAGAAAUAAUAGUACAAUAAUAAAAAGGUGAGGUGCAUCGGCACCAUCACAGAAAUAAUAGUAAAAUAUAAUUUAAAAAAAAAAAAAGAGAAAUGGGGACAAAUGUUUCUGGAGCUAUGUGGAAGAUAAUGAGAGAAAUUGCACUGUAUGAACGUGCAGGGUCAGGAUUUCAUUUUAUUUACGAGACUCUCUUACUUUAGUCUAAAGUUAGGGGAGAACAAUACCAAAAAAAAAAAUUUAAUAGAAAUGGUUUGAAAACUUUAAGUUUUAAUGAUAAGAAUAAAAUAAAAGGUAAAGUAAAUAGUAUCAGGAUUAAUCUUUUUAACGUAAAAAUAUACAUUUUCUUUAAAAUAAACAAUAUUGCAGAUUUUUCGAUAAAACACUGUUACAAAAAAAGAACUAACCUUAUUUACAAAGUCAUUUACAAAGUCUUCGUGUAAACAAUAAAGACUUCAAUUAUCAGGCUUAUGGUGUGUUUGUUGCGCCGGACUGUCUCGGACUGGACUAGCUGCCGGGACUAAGCUGGACUGGCUUAGACUGGACUAAGCUGGACUAACUUAGUGAAGCGUUUGGUGCAGUCUCGGACUAAGAAGCAGGAUAAGAAAAACAGUAUUGUUCACCAGAUUUGUGUUUGCUUAGACUAGGACUACAAAUUUUUGCCAUUGUGUAAUAGAGUAAUGCUACAAAUAUCAUGAUAUGGGUUAAUUGGAACAUAUUUUUACCAUGUAUAUUAUGAAUCUUAAAAAAAAUUGACAAUUGUUUUGUUUCUAUUACCUGCUAAUAGAAUUGGGUUUAAUUUGCAAAUGUAGCUUGAUUUAAACUCUAUCACCCAACAGAAGAAAAAUAAUAGUGGCCAAUACAUGCAACUUCAACAAAUACAAGUACAUAAGAUCUCCAUAAUUUAGAAAAUCCUAGUUAACAUUAGUUAACAUUAGCCAAAAUAGAUCUCCAUAAUUUACAAAAUGGCUAGUUAACAUAAGCCAAAAUACUAGUGCAAAGCUAAGUUAUAAGUCAUAACAUAAGAUUGUAUGAUUAAUAAAAUACAUCCAUGUUAACGUUAAUAAAAUACAUCCAUGUUAACAUUAGCCAAAAUCCUCAUCCACUUGCGUUGUCGCUUAAAAGCCUUUGGACGAACACUUUCUUGAGUUCCGGUUUGAUUGCCCUGAACACUUCCACAUUUUUUGGUUUAUCCAAAAUAAGAGACAAUGCAUCAAUUUGAUCCAUAGGAGAGAGACCCAUUGCUUCAAGUUCAUUAGCUAUGUCAGUAUGAUCUGCAGUACCUUGAACUAAAGCUUCAGUUACCAUUUGCAUCCUCUUCCCACUUUCAACAUAAAAAUCUUUCAGUCCAUUGAUAAUUGCCUCAGUUCCAUCACUUGAACUUCCCACAGCUCUUUCCUCUUUCUUUGGCUAUUUUCAAAUGGGGUGCUUUGUUGGCUUUGUUGGUUCAUUGAAGAAACAAAAUUAUCACCUCCAAUAUCACUUUCACCAACAUGAUCAUGACUUUGUUCCUCCACCAUUUGAGCAGGGGUUUCGGCUACAUUACCCGUAGCCCGAUCUUUUCCAAAUAUAUAUGCAAAUCUAUCAAACAGUGGAAAAUGUUUGCUUCUCCAUCCAUCGGCUUCUUUAUUUCUCUAAGAUUAUAUCAACAUAGCAAAACUAAAAUUUAGCAUGCGUAACAAAUAUAGCAGCAAGAAUAUAACUAAUGCAUAAAUAAAAUAGGAUAUGAACCUGCACAUAAGUUUGCCAUGCGUCAUCACUGUCAACUUCAACGCACUUUUUGACAUCAUUCCAUGCAAAUCCACUUGUGUUUAUCAUGUCAACGACCAUACUAUAUGUUUUUUUUCCAUUUCUUCAACUUGGACUCAAUAUGUGGAUUUGCCUUUAUAUUUGAAUGAGGACAUAAAACAUUGACAGCUUUUGCUAUUUCAACCCAAAGUACCUUGUUUGAAAGCACCGGUGUCACACCGUUGCUUCCGAGCAACAAAAUCCUCAAGAACUCCUAGUAAUACUUCUUCCUCAAAUGCUUCCCAUUUACGCCUUCUUCCUUUUGGCUCUUUAGUAGCAUUCAAAAAAUUUUCGUUAUCCAUACCUAAACAAAAAAUAUUUUAAUGAAGGAAAAAUACCAUACAAAUAAUCAAUUUGCAUAAUAUCCAAUCAACUUGCAUAAUAUCCAAUCAACUUGCAUAAUAUCCAAUUAAUUUGCAUACCAUCCAAUCAUUGUGCUAAUAUCUAACAAAUGCAUGAUAAAAAGGAAUACUAAAAUAAAAUGUUAUCAUUAACACAUAUAGCUAGUUCGGUUGCUGGUUCCUAAUUGCUCUCCACUCAUUAUACAUUUCCUGAGCCAUAUCAUUCCUCAUUGCAGUCCACUGGUCCGAUGUUUGAACACUACCAACAUAUAUCACCUUCUUCUGUAUUUUGUCCAUCUUCUAUUAUUGGCAAAUUCUCCAUUGGAUCUACAGACAUCUCUUGCCUAAUAAGAUUGUGUAGUAGGCAACAAGCGGUAAUUAUUCGACCUUGUGUCCUUAUCGGAUAGAAAGAUGGACUCCUUAGUAUCGACCACCUUCCUUUUAGCAAGCCAAAACAGCGUUCAAGUACAUUCCUUGCCUUAGAAUGCUUCAUGUUAAAAUAUUCUUCCUUAUUAGAAGGUGUUCGUCCCUCCCAUUCAGAUAAAUGAUAAGGUAUUCCUCUAUAGGGUGCAAGGAAUCCUUCACCAUUUGUAUGACCACCAUCUACAAGGUAAUAACAACCUAAUGAAAAAAAAACAGACCUUAUUAGUGUUUUGUAGUUGACAAACAAAACUAAACCUAACUUACAAAGUUGAGACUAAGUAAUAGUCUUACCCGCUGGUACCUUAAAACCAUUAGGCCUACUAAUUGCAUCAUGUAGCACUGUAGAGUCUGAUGCGGAACCCUCCCACCCCGGAAACACAUAUAUGAACUGCAUAUCUCCUGAACACACACCUAACACAUUAGUUGCGACUCGACCCUUUCUUGUUCGGUAUCUUGGUUUGUCAAUUUCAGGUACAUGCACAUCAAUGUGUGUUCCAUCCAAUGCUCCCAAGCAAUUCUUAAAAAUAAAAAAUAAAAAAGUUUUUGUUAUUUAUACAAAGGGAAUUAAGAGUUAAAGCUUAGGGAAAAUGAAAAAAAAUUCUCAUCAUACCUUAAAACAUCGCCACCUAGGAUCUGUAGAAUCAAUAGGCACAGGCUGGGGGACUUUUAGUAGGAUACCUUGUAAUCGCAAAAUUCCUUGCAAUACGCUAUUGAAAUACCUACUUAUAGUCUCUCCCGACCUAUAAAAUCUACCGCCAACACUACGAUUCUUAGUAUGAUGUGCUAAUAUUUGUAAAGUCGUACAUACAUGUUCCUCUACAGACACCAAACCAUCAGUUUUUACCCUCCCAUCUUGACGAAGUAAGUCGCAUAAUAUGCCAAAAGUCCUUUUAUCCAUUCUCAAUUCGUUGACACAUUCAGUAUCAGUAUUCCCUAUUAUACCAUUCAGAUAAUACAAACUAAUCUCUCGUCUAAUAAGUGAACGGUUAGUCAAUGUGGGUCGUUUAACAUGUCUCUGUUUGCCACGUAGCAUCAUCACCACAAGAAUCGUACAAAUACAAAUUAUCUCCAAAUAAGACAUCUCUAAUAAUAAGAUCAAUAAAAGCUUCAUUCGAUCCAUAUCUAUCCAAACAAACAAAAAAACAAUAGUAUGAGGAUUGCUAUCAUUCCUAGGCAUUGCAUGUGAAGAGGGAAAUUAAAGGACACCUGUAAUGCAGUAACCUUAGCCUUAGCCUUUUGUUUAUGCUCCUCUUCUCUGCAACAAACAACCACAAAAAAUUGCAAUUCAGCAUCAACCCCACAAAACAUUCACAUUGUAAUAUCAUGGUUAUAAACCAAGUACAUACACACACACUCAUGGACAAAUGUGCAAAAUACACAUACAUAUUCACACUCACACUCACACUAACACACACACACGGAAAUACACACUCUCACACACUGACAUAGACUCACACACACCCUGCAUACAUACAUACACACACACACUGCACACACACACACACUGCAUACAUACACACACACACACACACUGCACACACACACACUGCAUACACACUCACACACACACACUGCACACACACACACUGCAUACACACACACACUGCACACACAGUCACAGUCACACUCACACUCAUACUUACACUCACACACACACACUGCAUACACACACACACACACUGCACACACACUCACACUCACACACACUCACACUUACACUCACACUCACACUCACACACUGCACACAGCCACUCACACACACACACACACUGCACACACGCACACACACACACAACACACUGCACACACACACUGCACACACUGCACACACACACUGCAUACAUACACACACACACACACUGCACACACACACUGCAUACAUACAUACACACACACUGCAUACAUACUCAUACUCAUACACACACUGCACACACUGCAUACAUACAUACUGCAUACAUAUACACACACUGCACACACACACACUGCAUACAUACACUGCACACACACACUGCAUACAUACUCAUACACACACUGCACACACACACACUGCAUACAUACAUACAUACACACUGCAUACAUACUCAUACUCAUACACACACUGCACACACUGCAUACAUAUACACACACUGCACACACACACUGCAUACAUACACUGCACACACACACUGCAUACAUACUCAUACACACACUGCACACACACACACUGCAUAUAUACCGCAUACAUACACACACACACACUGCAUACACACUCACACACACACUGCACACACACACACUGCAUACAUACAUACACACACACUGCACACACACACACUGCAUACAUACAUACUGCAUACAUAUACACACACUGCACACACACACACACACUGCAUACAUACUCAUACACACACUGCAUACAUACCGCAUACAUACACACACACACUGCAUACACACUCACACACACACUGCACACACACACACUGCAUACAUACUCAUACUCAUACACACACUGCACACACUGCAUACAUACAUACUGCAUACAUAUACACACACUGCACACACACACACUGCAUACAUACACACUGCACACACACACACACUGCAUACAUACUCAUACACACACUGCACACACACACACACUGCAUACACACACACUGCACACACACUCACACUCACACUUACACUCACACUCACACACUGCACACAGUCACACACACACACACACGGGGACAGAGUGCAACACACUCUUACCCUCACACACACACUCUGUUUUUAUACUCACACACACACACACACACACUGCAUACAUACUCACACACACACACUGCACACACACUGCAUACAUACACACACACUGCACACACACACACACACUACACACACACACUGCAUACAUACACACACACACACACAUUGCACACACACACACACUACAUACAUACACACACACACACACUGCAUACAUACACACACACAUUGCAUACACACACACACAUUGCACACACACACACACACUACAUACAUACACACACACACACUGCAUACAUACACACACACACACAUUGCAUACACACACACUGCAUACAUACACACACACACACACAUUGCAUACAUACACACACACAUACUGCAUACAUACACACACACACACUGCAUACAUACACACACACAUUACUGCAAAUUCAAAAGAACCAGAGUAAGAGUGAGAGACAGAGAGAGAGGGUUACUUUGACUGGGAUCAAACAGGGGAGGAGGAUGGGCGAUUUGGUUGGAGUGUUCCUGAGAGGUCGCCUGAGAAAAAGGUGGAGGAGCAGGGCGAGCAGGAUCUGCAAUUUGACCCUAAAAAUCAAAACUCUAAUUUGUUCAACUACAGAGGUAUAUUAUUGAAAAUUUCUCAAACCCAAAACAAUUAAAUCAAAUAAAGCUUAGUAAUAUCACGAUCUGCAAAACAAAUUGAAGAAAUAAAUCGAAGAUUCGAAGUUUACCAGGCAAGAAGAGCAGAUAAGGGCGAGCAAGAUGCAGAUGAAGGCAAGCAAGACGCAGAGAUGAGGGUGAAGAGGACGAGGAUGAGGGAGCAAGGCAAGCAGGGAGCGAUGGCGACAACUCUCUCUCUCGCAGGAUGAGCGAGGUUUUCUCUCGCGGAAGGUCUUGCGAGUCCGGCCGAAUUUGGGGUUCUCGGCUAAGAACUCCUAGCGAACCCCUUAAUCCGAGCGAGUCCCAUUUAAUCCCAUUAAACCUAAUCCUGGUGCAGAACAAACAAGGGACUACAAUCUAGUCCAAUCCAGUCCCCCCUAAUCCGGUCAAACAAACGGGUCCUUAAAGUCUUCAUGUGCACAGGCUUAAAGUCAUUUACAGUGUUUGUGUCCGAAUUUCCCUUUAUUUACGAGACUGCCACUAUCAUGUCUCUUCUCACUUCUCUAUUAUUUCUGCAGGAAAAAGACAGAGUUUAUAGAAUGGUACAUGGCAUCUGAAAAGAAGGAAUAUAAUCUUAGAAGUUUUAACGAAAAGUCUACGGUACUGUUUACUUUAACGAAAAACCACAUUUUACACUAAAAAGUCAAACCUGAUACUAUUCACUUUACCUUUUAUUUUGUCCUUAUCGUUAAAACUCAAAGUUUUCAAGCCCUUUUCACUAGUUUCCUUAUAAUCUUAUAUAGAAAGCCGUUGGGUUGGUCAACAGUGUUGCACAGUGCAACAUUUUUUUUACCAAUUUACCCUUGCACAAUUUGAAAUAUGAUUUUGGGUAGCUUUUGAUUUUUUUUGGCAGAGGGGCAUUUUCGUCCAAUUAUUUUGUCGAAGCCAGUGACACCAAAGUUUUGUCCGCAUGUGCACUGUUUACUUUUCACUUCUUUAUUUUUAAAUACGUUCAAAACAUCAUAAGAAGCGUGUAAUGCAGGUUAUAAAAAAGGUCUUUCGCACGCGAAUAAUAAUGUGAUUAAAUGAAUUGUCAAAUGAUUUUUUUUAAACAAACGAUAUUAUCUACAUUAAAAGGGAGUAGGUGAGCUUGGCCUCACAAUGACUAGCAAUAAUAUGAUUCAAUCAAUUGUUUAUUAAAUAUUAUUUUCUCUAUUAUGUCAAAUGAUCAAUUUUUUCUUUAUAAAAAAGAUCUUUCGCACACGGAUAAUAAUGUGAUUAAAUUAAUUGUCAAAUGAUUUUUUUUUACCAAAUAAUAUUAUCUACACGAAGAGGGUGAGCUUAGCCUCACAAUGUGCUAACAAUAAUGUGAUUCAAUCAAUUGUUUAUUAAAUAUUAUUUUCUCUAUUCCUGAUGUAAAUUCUAUAAAAACCGAUUUUAUUAUGUGAAUUCAGCUACUUUAAUUAAAUAUUAUUUUCUUCUAGCAUGAUCUAAAAUUAUUCAUUUACUUCAAAUAUUUAAAUUUUUUUUUAUCAAUUUACGUAUAUAAAUACAUUUAAAAUGUGUAAGUCGCACAUAACACGCCGUAAUUCAAAAAAUGCCUUCUGCACGCGAGUGAAGGCUAGUAAUAAUAAAAAUGAAACUAAUGAAAAGGACUUGAAAACUUUGAGUUUUAACGAUAAAGACAAAAUAAAUGGGAAAUUAAUGGCAUUGAGCGCAAUAGAAGGUAAGCCAUAAUCCUAAAUAUGAGGAUUCUCAAUCUUCAUCUCUCCAUGAUUUUAUAGUUUGAAAUUCAUUUGUUUUUUUAUUUUUUCUUGGAAUUAGAAAAAAAAUACCCAAGCGUUCGGAAAUUUCUCAAAAGAAAUUGUUCAUUAACUGACUGAAAAAAUUCGCAAUUUUGUAUGUAAAGGUAAAGCACUUGAAGGGAGGCAUGUGCCGCUUUGUCGACUUUAUUGAAAUAAAUUGUCGUCAACUAACUUAAAAUAUUUGCAACUUUGUACCUAAAACACGUAAAGGAGCCCUCAUCCUUUAAAGAUAUAUAUUAUACUUUUUGUUAUAAAUAGGCAAAAUUUAUAGAGAGAUAACCUUUACUCGGUGAAGGAACGAAGCAGUUGCAGAGUAAUAUACCGACACAAGCUGUUGCAGAGGAAGUAAUUUAUAUUAUUGCUAUUAGAUAUAUUUCUCUUUUCUUUCUUCUUCUCAUUCACUAAUCUUUGCACAAUUGAAUUGCUCUAUUUAUAGAGCUACUUCAAUGGAAAAUUACAAAACAUUACUAUUUAGCUUAUGAGUAUAUAGUACACAUGUGAUACUUUACUAUACACAUUACUAUACACAUGUGGGCAAACAUACCCAUCAUUUACAACACUCCCCCUUGGAUGCCCACAUAUCAACAUCAGUUGCCUCAUUAAAACCUUGCUUGGAAAAACCCUGUGGGAAAAAAACCAUAGCGAAGGAAAAAGAGUACAACUUUACCCGGAUGGUGUUGAGCAUGCUUAGGUUGCCUCGUUAAAAACCUUGAUAGGAAAAACCCAGUGGGAAAAAUCCUAAGCGAAGGAAAAAGAGUACAACAUGCAUGUAUCAUGGAUGCUCCCCCUGAAUUGUAUCUCCCCCUGAUUCCGCAUUUUUCAAAUCUGUAAGCCGACGUAAUCCGAUUCCCUGUACCAACUUCUGAAAUGUGCACUUUGGUAGAGAUUUGGUGAACAAGUCUGCUAAAUUUUCAUUGGAACGGAUUUGUCUGACUUCAAGAACUUUAGCCUUCUGAAGCUCAUGUGCGCUGAAAAAUCUUGGAGAUAUGUGUUUAGUCUUAUCACCUUUGAUAAAUCCUUCCUUCAUUUGGGCGACACAGGCUGCAUUAUCUUCAUGGAUGACAGUUGGAGUGUCUGUCUUUGAAGGUAGACCACAUGAAUUCCGGAUGUGAUGGAUCAUUGAUCUUAACCAAGAACAUUCACGACUUGCUUCAUGUAAAGCAAUUAUUUCCGAAUGAUUGGAAGAUGUUGCAACUAGCGUUUGCUUUGUUGAUCGCCAUGAAAUUGCAGUAUCUCCAUUAGUGAACACAUAUCCAUUUUGUGAGCGGGCUUUAUGCGGAUCGGAGAGAAAACCAGCAUCUGCGUAUCCAACAAGGAUUUGUUCAUUUGUGGGCUUGUCUGAGUAGAAGAGACCCAUAUCUGUUGUCCCACGAAGGUAUCGUAGAACAUCUUUGACUCCCUUCCAAUGACGAAUUGUUGGAGCAGAGCUGUACCUGGCUAACAAGUUAACUGAAAAAGCUAUAUCUGGUCUAGUACAUUGUGCUAAAUACAAUAAAGCACCUAUUGCGCUCAAAUAUGGUACUUUUGGACCAAGGACCAGUUCAUCAUCUUCUUUUGGACGAAAUGGAUCUUUCUUAAUGUCCAAAGAACGAACGACCAUUGGGGUGCUAAGUGGAUAAGCUUUGUCCAUGCCAAAUCGCUUCAGUAUUUUUUCAAUGUAAGCUGAUUGAUGGACCAAAAUUCCACUAACACAAUGCUCGAUCUGCAGGCCUAGACAAUAUUUGGUUUUCCCAAGGUCUUUCAUUUCAAAUUCGUUUUUCAGAUAUUCAGCAGUUUUGUUGAGCUCUUCGGGGGUUCCAACUAGGUUCAUAUCAUCGACAUAUACUGCCACUAUAGCAAAUCCAGUAUUUGAUUUCUUAAUGAACACACAAGGGCAGAUGACAUUGUUGGCAUAUCCUUCUUUAAUCAAAUACUCACUGAGACGAUUAUACCACAUUCGCCCAGAUUGUUUCAGCCCAUAUAGUGAUCGCCUUAAUUUGAUUGAGAACAUACCCCGUGGUUUGUUAGUUGCUUCAGGCAACUUAAGUCCUUCUGGGACUUUCAUAUAUAUGUCAGUAUCUAAUUCUCCAUAUAGAUACGCGGUGAUGACAUCCAUAAGUCGCAUGUCAAGUUUUUCUGAAAUCACCAAAACUUAUUAAGUAACGAAACGUAAUUGCAUCCAUUACAGGAGAGUAUGUCUCUUCAUAAUCAACUCCAGGUCUUUGUGAAAAACCUUGUGCAACGAGUCGUGCUUUAUAUCUUGCAAUCUCGUUUUUCUCGUUGCGUUUCCUUGUGAAUACCCAUUUAUAACCUACAGGGUUCACACCAGGCGGGGUUUGGACUACUGGUCCAAAAACACUUCGUCUUUCCAAGGAUUUUAAUUCUGCCUGGAUUGCAUCUUUCCACUUAGGCCAAUCUUGUCUCUGUUUGCAUUCAUCAACAGAGCGGGGCUCAAUAUCAUCACUUAAUAUGAUUUCAGUGGCUAUUGCAAAUGCAAACAUGUCAUCGAUGAUUAUUUCAUUUCGAUCCCACAAUUCAUUAGUACAUGCAUAAUUUAUGGAUAUUUCUUUACUUUCAUGUACUUCUGUCUCUUCAGGGACAUGUGUCUCAUCAAGGACAUUUUCUUUUUCUGGAAGUACAGAGUCACGAAUUGUGGAUUUAUCAUUCAAUUCCUUUUCUUGAAUGAUAUCAUUUGGGUUCAAUUGGGCCCUCAUCUUUCUCUUUCGAGGAGCUGAAUCUUUUGAACCUGGGGGUCUACCACGCUUCAGGCGUGCACUGGAUGAAUCAUUCGCUGCCACUUUAUUUUGUCCAACAGGGACAUCAAUUCUUGCAGGUGCGUUUGCAGCCGGUAUAUAUGACUGUGUCACUUUCGAAGCAUCAUUAAAUGCAUCUGGCAUUUGAUUAGCAAUACCUUGAAGAUGAACGAUUCUUUUCACUUCGUUUUCACAUUGAGUGCUUCUUGGAUCAAAAUGAGAUAAGGUGGGAACAACCCAUGUUAGCUCUUGUCGUUCUUCUGGAACGGUCUUUUCUCCCCCUAACGACGGGAAAAUUGUCUCAUCAAAAUGACAAUCAGCAAAACGAGCUGUAAGCACAUCACCAGUCAAAGGUUCCAAAUAUCUAAUGAUAGAUGGUGAAUCAAAACCCACAUAAAUUCCCAAUCUGCGCUGAGGUCCCAUUUUAGUUCGUUGUGGUGGUGCAAUAGGCACAUAAGCAGCACAACCAAAAACUCGUAAAUGUGAAAUAUUUGGCUGAUGUCCAAACACGAGUUGUAUUGAUGAGUAUUGGUGGUUGGCUAUGGGUCUCAAUCUAACCAAUGAUGCAGCAUGUAAUAUGGCAUGUCCCCAUGUAGAAACUGGCAAUUUCGUUUUCAUGAGCAGAGUGCGGGCUAUUAAUUGAAGCCGCUUGAUAAAUGCCUCUGCUAAACCAUUUUGAGUAUGGACAUGAGGAACAGGGUGUUCAACAUUAAUGCCCAGUGCCAUACAGUAAUCAUCAAAGGUUUGAGACGUAAAUUCACCAGCGUUAUCAAGUCGAAUGGACUUAAUGGGAUGAUCUGGGAACUGUGCUCGCAACUUAAUUAUCUGAGCAAGAAGUCUCGCAAAAGCUACAUUUCGAGUAGACAAUAGGCAAACAUGUGACCAUCGGGUAGAUGCAUCAACCAAAACCAUAAAAUAUCGAAAUGGUCCACAAGGUGGUUGAAUAGGUCCACAAAUAUCCCCUUGAAUUCUUUGCAAAAAUGAUGGGGAUUCAUCAUCAACCUUUAGUUGUGAUGGUCUAAUUACCAACUUCCCUUGGGAACAAGCCUUGCAAGGAUUAUCAUUCGGGACAUUAAUGUGUCUGCUCAGUAAUGGAUGUCCAUUUAGAGUUGGUAAUGAUUCUACGCAUCAUGGUGGAUCCUGGAUGACCUAGACGGUCAUGCCAAAGCAUGUAAACCUUUGAAUCAAUGAACUUAUGGUUCAUGACAGUAUAUGCCUCAACUGUCUUUAUGUAUGUACAAUACAAUCCACUCGAUAAACCAUGCAACUUCUCCAAUAUACGCUUCUGGGUAUCGUUGGAGGUAAUGCAUAAAUAUUCCACAUUUUCUACACUUUUCGUUUCAAGGUGGUAUCCAUUUAAAACGUAUGUCUUUAAAACUCAACAAAUUUCGAAUGGACCGAGUAGCAUAUAUGCAUUCUUUAUAGACAAUAUUGUUCCAUUUGGUAACAUAAUCUGGGCUUUUCCUGAGCCUUCAAUUACAUCUGAUGGUCCUGAUUGUUGUUACCUUUACUUUGCAAGUACCGAUUCAGAAUUACUUUCGUCUCGAAGUAUUGAAUGCUGGUUGGCUAUGACAGAAGUCUCCGCAUGAUCUUGUUUUAGAUAUAACAUAUUUUAUAUCCAGAUCGAGUAAAGAAAAGCAAUUUAUUCAUACUGGAUAUCUACUUUUAUUGAAAUGAACAUUAGAAAACCACAGUACAAAUAACAUGAGUACAUUAAACAUAAUAAUUCAUCGGACCCUUAAAUUCUUAUCCAUACUAAGUCAGUCUGUGCAUCCAGGUGGUGUUGUUUAACUGUCCUGAUAAUUGGGUUCACUGGGGGGUUUCAUUGGUUUAGCCGGUCAAGGAAAUUGCACCCGACUCCUUGAAGAGGAAAGUGAUAUAGUUCCACCAGAUGUUUGGGGCGCCGACAAGUACGCGCCAAAUGAGUGCCACCACACCUGGAUUAAACCUUGGAACCGUUGUGAAACUAGAGUGUUUCUUGCUUUCCUCUCCUGGCGAGUGUGGUUAUUUCUAUAAGGAGGGCCUGACUUUCUCUUGGAACCUGGUCGGGAAACUGACACCAUGGUUCAGUGCCAGGCCUUCCCGACCUUGCUUGUGGACCAGCGUUCUGUUUUUAUAUGCCCACGGGAGUAAAUAUCUGGUAUUUCUUUCAGGGAGCAAAAUUCACUCGGAACUGGAUGGCUGUCCACCAAAGGGCAAGAUUAUGGUUUUUCAUGAGAAGCUCAGUUUGUAGCCACAGAGAUGGCGAUUCAGCUGUGUAUUCAGUGAGCUCGCGUCUAUACUGUUGUAUGCAGUGACCAGUGAGGUGUUAGAUGUGCUUUUUUUGAUCCAAGGCAUUUCCUAUGAAACCAGGCUCAGAAUUACACAAUUAAUGAGAGGGGCAAUGUGAACCGCACAUUCUCAAUCGAAAUCAAGUCAUAGAUGGGUGAUUAUCCCGCACUACUUUAAAACAGCAGGAAAAAUUUAAGAUAAGCUGUGAGCUGUGGAAACUUGCAACGCACACUAAAAUUGCGAUAAAUUCUACAAAUAUCUUCAGCCAGGUGGACGAUUUAUACCGCCCACCAUAAGCCCGUCAUAGGUGCGGUGAUCUAUCCGCACUAACUUUAACAGCAGGAAUAUUUAAUAUGUAGAGCAAGGUGGACGGAUAUACCGAUAACGGUUAUAAAAUUGCGAUAACCUUUAAAAUGCAAAGCGGUGGACGUAUUAUACCGCACCUCACCUAAAUUGCACAAUUAAAAAUUGCACUAUUUAAAAGAGCUUAUUUCAAUGGCCUUUACAAAUUUUACAUAAGCUUAAAUAUGACAAUAUAGUAGCAUUAUACCGCACCACCUAAAUUGCAAUAAAAUUAAAUAGUCAAAGCAGGAUGGGUGAUUAUUUCACACCACCUAAAUUGCGAUAAAAUUAAUACGGGAAAAUUUAAUAUCAGAUUAAGCGGCGAACAAUACCGUCCCCACUUAAAAUUUUCGAAAGAAAUGAUAUGCAGUCAAGACAGAACGAUCAGAGACCGCACCAAUUUGGAUUGCAUAAUACUCAGUGAUUAGUAGUCAAUAUCUACACCACCAAGAAAUCAAAGUAUGUGCAGUUAGUUGGAGACCUAGAAGUAACAUGGUGCAACAGUUCUUCUUCGCGAGGGUUUGGCCAGCAUGAGGAGAGAAGAAGAAGACAGAAAAAAACGAGGAAACUUCUUUUGGUGAAAGGAAAUGGAGACAAAGAUAGAGAGUUGCUGAUAACGUGUUCACUGUAAAUAGAUAAAUUUAUUAGAGAGAAACUUUCCUGUGAAGAACGAAGCAGUUGAGAGUAUAUACGGACACAAUCUGUUGCAGAGAAGUAAUUUAUAUUAUGCUAUUAAUAUAUUUCUCUUUUCUUUCUUCUUCUCAUUCAUAAUCGUUGCACAAUUUGAAUUGCUUAUUAUAGAGUACUUCAAUGAAAAUUACAAAACAUUACUAUUUAGCUUUGAGUAUAUAGUACACAUGUGAUACUUUACUAUACACAUUACUAUACACAUGUGGGCAAACAUACCCAUCAUUUACAACACUUUUGUGAUUGUUGGUCUCUCACUCAUCUUUUACUUUUCUGGCGGAGAUCCUUAUAUAAAAUACUAUAUUUUAUUCCGCAAGAAUCGCAUGGUUAUAAAGAAAUUGAGGAGAAUGCAGGCAAUUUCGUCCUUUACAUUUUUUAUGUUUUUUUUUUUUUGGUCUAAUCUCUGAUGAUUUUUCUCAGUCGUCGUUCGUAUGUUUAUUUUAUUGAAAUAAGCCUUACAGAAAAUGCUUUUACUAAAAGAAAAAAAAGAAUAAAUAUUUACAAAUUCUUCAGUUAAACAGUGAGGACUCAAUUUGCUUUAACUUUAUGAGAUAGGAGUCUUGGGUAGGUAAUUUUUGUGAUUGCAGAUUUUAUGUUGAUUACUACGUGGUAUUCAUAUACAUUCUUCGUACACCCGGUUUCGGCAGCCUGACGGAGUACUGACUAUUUUCUCAGAUAGGCUGUCAUCGGAUAGUAACUGCCUAAAUUAGCUGCGCGUUUGAUGAAUCGGUUAAUGACCGUAUUUCACAAUACUGUGUUUGAUUAUUAUCGUGAUUUUUAUUUAUCAAGUUUUAAUUUCUGAGUAAAUUAAAACUCACUCCUGAUCCUUAUUCCCUCCAAAUCUGAUCCUGGUUUUAACCUGGAUACCAUAAUAUUUCUUGAGCUGAAGGUGGAAAAUUCAGCAAAGAUUUGGUGGGGGGGUUUCCCCCUGGAAAAAACACAAUUAAUUUAACAGAACACUCUGCAGAGCUAUCUGCUGAAUACCUGCCAGUUAAUGAUUUGUAUGCUUUCGAAUUGCUUUCUAGUUCGUCAUAAUAGAAUAGAAUGAAUUUGUCGAGGUUUUUUUUUGGUUCGUUAUUCUUCAAUAUUAAAGUAAAGGAUAUGAUUUGUAUUAUUUUAAAUUCAAGAAAGGCAGCUGUGCCAAACGAGGCCUUCUCUCUUGCCGUGUCUGAUGCAGAAGAUUUUUUACUCGAGCCGGCUAUAAUUUGGAGGGCAGGUUGGUUUAAUCAGUUCCAAAUUUGGUGAAUCGUUUGAUAUUUUUAGUUUUUCUGUCCUAAUUGACAAGUGUUGAUAUCUUCUAAAAUAACCGAAGAGUUGUAAGGAUACUUUCACUUUUUGCAUUGACUUGUGGGGCGAUGAUUUUAGGCUAACAGGGCUUAGUUUGAAUCCUGGAUGUGCUUUCCAGUUCCCCCCCCCAAUCUGUGGAUUUGUUUUCUUUAAAAUAUUAAACCCCUUGACAUCGCAUAUACCAGCUGAGACCGUCGUCGUCGUCGUCACCGUAUGAACAAAUCUAUGAUCAGAAAUCAGAGAUGAGAGCCCAAGACCGUCGCCCUCAGUCUCAGAAAUUUGAGCCAAAAUCUCGCGAGAUUCAAGCUGCACGCGAGCGGAUCCAAAGCCCGAACCUCCGAUCUUGCUGAAAAACCGUGAAUUUGGUCCCAAUUCGAAGGAAAUUUUAAGCCCAGAAAAGCCUUGGUUUCACAGUAAAACCCAGAAACUUGAGGUACGAAAAUUUCAUAUUUUUUGAUGUUUUUUAUUUAUUUUCAGUGUUAAUUUCUGAUUAAAUUAUUAUUUUUGAUAAACCCAUCCAGAAUCUGAUCUGGGUUUUACCUGGAUUCCAAGUAAUAUUUUUGAAACUUGAAGGUGGAAAAUUUUCAAUUUAUUUUUAUUUUUAUUUAUUUUCAGUGUUACUCUCUGAUUAAUAUUAUUCUGGGUUUUGCAGAAAUGCUAUUCUUGCUGAAUACCUGCCAUGUAAGUGAUUUAAUUUUUGCUUUUCGAAUUGCUACUACUUUCGUGCAUAAUUAUGAAUAUGUAGAUGAUUUGGGGGUUUUUUUUUUGGUACUUUAUCUUCAAUUUAAAGUAAAGGAUAUUGAAUUUUGUUAUCAUUUUUAAAUUCAAGAAAGGCAGUCUGUGCUUCCUCUUCCGUUCUGAUUUGCAGAAGAUUUCUCGAGCGGCUAUAAUUUCAUGGCAGGUUGGUUUAAAUCAGUUCCAAAAUUUGGGAUCGUUUGGGAUAUUUUUAGGUUUUUCUGUCCCUCACAAAUCUUGGCUCUCUAAAAAAACCGAAGCAGUUUAAGAUUCUUCAGCUUUUUAAUUUGGAUUGAAGAUGAUUUUAGGCUAACAGGCUAAUGUUUUGAAUCCUGGAUCUGGGAGUUCCCCCCCCCCAAGCUGUGGGAUUUGUUUUCUUCAAUUUUAAAAUAUUACAAUUGAAUUCUUUGUUUGGGUAAAAGUUCUGUAUGGGUUCUGAUGAGGCACUGAAUUGGGUUUGAGAGUUUUGAUUUUACGGGAGAGGUAGGGAUUUGUGUUUAAACUUUUGAAGUACUUUUUUUGCAGAUAUUACGGGAGAGGUUGGACAUAAUCAUUACUUCCUAUUACAAUUAUUAAAGUUAAUUCAAUUAACUAAAGUUGGUUUGAAUGUGAUGAUGUGAUGGCAACUACUAACAACAAAACAACAAUCUCCUUAGAUUAAGGAGAAAGAACCAAAAGGUGAGGAAGAAAAGAAAGGAAAGGAGGAAAGAGAGCUCUGCACAUGCAAAUGUCAGAGAGCUCUCGGUGUACAUGUAAAGCAAAAGUAUACAAUAAUUCCAAUAAUAUUUUUCUUCUAACACUGUUAAGCAUGUAGUUUUCAGUGAUCUCUGGACAAUCCCUAUAUAUGCAUUGUAUUUGCAUAUUAGUUUCACUUAGUUUUAGUGAUCUUUGCGAGAACUUUUUUUAUUUUUAUUUAUUUUCAGUGUUUCUCUCUGAUUAAUAUUAUUUUGAGUUUUGCAGAAAUGCUGUUCUUGCUGAGUACCUGCCAUGUAAGUGAUUUAAUUUUUGCUUUUCGAAUUUCUUCUUUUCAUGCAUAAUUAUGAAUAUGUAGAUGAUUUGUGGGUAAUUUUUUUUUUACUUAAUCUCCAAUUCAAAGUGAAGGAUAUUGAAUUUUGUUAUCAUUUUUAUUCAGGAAAGGCAGUCUGUGCUGCCUUUUCUGUUCUGAUUUGAAGAAGAUUUCUCAAGCGGCUAUAAUUUCAUCGCAGGUUGGUUUAAAUCAGUUCCAAAAUUUGGGAUCGUUCGGGAUACUUUUAGGUUUUUCUGCCCCUCACAAAUCUUGGCUCGCUAAAAAACCAAACCAGUUUAAGCUUCUUCAGUUUUUUGAUUUGGAUUGAAGAUGAUUUUUAGCCAAAAAGGCUAACGUUUUGUGGUAAGUUCUUUGAAUCCUGCAUCUGCGAGGUUUUUUUUUUUUUUUUUUUUUUUCCAAAGCUGUGGGAUUUGUUUUCUUCAAGUUUAAAAUAUUACAAUUGAAUUCUUUGUUUGGGUAAAAAUUUAAUUAGAUUCUGUAUGGGGGUUCUGAUGAGGCACUGAAUUGGGUUUGAGGGUUUUGAUAUUAUGAGAGAGGUAGGGAGUAUACAGGGAGAGAGGGGGGGUAGGUGAUUUGCAGAAAUGGAGGGUGAAAGAAAAAAGGGGAGAGAAGGGGUAGUACAUUAUAUUUUGAUUUUAUAAUUUUGGGGGUUUUGUGUUUAAACUUUUUUCGCAGAUAUAGCCCACAAAUGUUGACCCAAAGGUUGGACAUAAUCAUUACUUCCUCAUCUUCUGUUUAAACUUUUUUCGCAGAUAUAGCCUGUCGAACAUUAAUUGAAACUCUAUUGAAACAAUCAUCUGUUUGCAACAAUCAUCUCGUUGGCUUCGAUGGCUAAAGAAGCAGCAGCAGCAGCUGCCUCAUCUUCUUCUCCUCCACCAUGGAAAUACCAUGUAUUCUUGAGUUUCAGAGGCGAGGACACGCGCUACAAUUUCACAGGCCAUUUGUGUAGAGCUUUGCGUCAAAAAGGAAUUAACACCUUCAUGGAUGAUUACCUUUCAAGAGGAGAAGAAAUAUCACCAGCGCUCCUCAAAGCGAUUGAAGAGUCGAGGAUUUCUGUCAUUGUAUUCUCCGAAAAAUAUGCUUCCUCAAGGUGGUGCUUGGACGAACUUGUUAAGAUCAUUGACUGCAAGAAAUCAAAUCAGCAAAUGGUGAUACCGGUAUUUUACAAGGUGAGUCCCUCGGAUGUUUGAAAUCAGAAGGGUUGUUUUGGUGAUGGACUUGCUGGCCUUGAGUGCAAUUAUAAGGAUAACGUUGACAAGAUCCACAAAUGGAGGCCAGCUCUUUCAGAAGCAGGAAAUUUGUCUGGGUGGACUCUCUUGGAUAAGUAUACAUUAUUACUUUAACACAUCCUUCUGCUUUCGCUUGUUUCAAUUUCUCUACUCUUUUGGUAUAUAUAGAUUUAAAUUUUUUGAGAUAGGAUCAAGAAUCAAAAGACCCAACAUGUCAUCGAUUUGUGGCCUUGUCAUCCAUUUGUGCAUAUUUGGAGUCCAAAUUUAGUGUACAAAUUAGUGUCUCUAGCAUCCUUUGUCCAAUCUUCCCAAACUAUAAAAAAAAUAUUGGUUUGUAAAUAUAAAUAGAAGGAAAUUCUGUUCUACUUUUGUGUGUGUUUUCUUCCCUCUUUUAAAAAAACAUGGGAAAAUGUCAUUUAUAAGAUGUUCCGUGUGAUUUUAUGCUUGCAGGCAUAAAGAUGAAUCGGAACUUAUUCAUAACAUUGUUGAAGGUAUUUCCGUGCAAGUAUUAAACCGUACAUAUUUGGAUGUGGCCGAAUACCCAGUUGGAAUGGAGUCUCGUGCAGAAGAAAUAAAUAACCUCUUACAUGUCGGGGGAAAUGAUGUCCGUAUGGUAGGUUUAUGGGGGAUUGGUGGAAUUGGUAAAUCAACAAUUGCCAAAGCUGUUUAUAAUUUAAUUUCCCACAACUUCGAAGGCAGUUGCUUUCUCAGUAGCGUUGGAGAAAGUUCAAUGACGGAUAAAGGAUUGGCCAAAUUACAAAAGACACUUCUUUAUGAGAUUCUACUGGGAGACAAGUUGAAGGUGGCCAAUGUUGAUAAAGGAAUCACUUUAAUUAAGGAAAGAUUAAGCAGUAAAAGGAUUCUCUUAGUUCUUGAUGAUGUGAACGACAUGAAACAGUUACACUGCUUAGCUGGGGGAUCAGAUGGUUGGUUUGGCGUGGGUAGUAGAAUUAUCAUAACUACGAGGGAUAAGAAACUGUUAACUGCUCAGCAUCAUAAUAUUUUGAUAUACGAGGUGAAGGAAUUGAACGAUCAUGAAUCUCUCGAGCUCUUCAGUUGGAAUGCCUUCAAAAGCAAAGGACCUUUGGAUGGUUAUGCGGAACUUGCAGACCAUGCAAUACGGUGUGCUCAAGGCCUUCCAUUAGUUUUGAGAGUUUUAGGUUCACAUUUGUACUGUGAAAGUAUAGAUAUGUGGCAAGCUAUAUUAGAUGGUCUGAUCAAAAGUCGAGAAAUUCAAGACGUUUUCAAGAUAAGUUAUGAUGCAUUGGAUGAAAUAGUGAAGGAAGUUUUUCUCGACAUUGCGUGCUUCUUUAAUGGGGAAAAAAGUAACUAUGUGAUCGAAAUAUUAGAAGGUUGUGGGCUAAACCCUAAGCAUAGCAUUGACGUACUCAUACAGAAGGCCCUCGUAAAUAUAUAUUAUGGUAUUAUACGGAUGCACAAUUUGGUAGAAGAAGUGGGUAAAGAAGUAGUUCGCCAACAAUCACCCAAUGAUCCUGGAGAGCGCAGCAGGUUGUGGUUUCAUGACGAUGUUUAUCGUGUUCUGACGGAGAAUACAGUAAGUCCAUUUGACAACAUUUUAUUUGUUAAUGAGACAUGCAUUUUGUUUUAUAUGGAACUUGCAUUGUUAAUACUUUUGAAUUUUCAUACUAGGGAACGAAAAACAUUAUAGGCAUAAAGGUGCAGCUGCUUGAAUCGGAUAACGAGAUAUGCUUAAGUCCUGCAACCUUCUCCAACAUGAAAAAUCUUAAAAUUUUCAUAAACCGUAAUGGACGGUUUUCUGGAGCCGUUGAUUACCUCCCCAACAACUUAAGGUUCGUUGAUUGGCCUGAAUGUCCGUUGAAAUCUUUGCCGCUCAAUUUAAUUCCGAAGAAUCUUGUUCUACUCAACAUGAGGAACAGCCGUAUCACAGGAUUCGGGGAGGGAUUUAAGGUACAUACGUUGAUCUCUUUUCUUUCUGUUUUAUUUAAGAGUAAGGAGUCUUUCUUUUUUCUGUGUCCCCUUUGAAAUGUUUUCAUCCCUUCCUCUCUUUUUUUCUUCACAGAUCCUGACGAAGCUGACUUCUAUAGAUUUAUCUGACUGUGAAUACUUAACCAGAAUCUCCGACUUAUCCGGAGUUCCAAACUUAGUGAGGUUGAAUCUAGAAUGUUGCGGAAAUUUAACCGAGGUUGAUUCAUCAGUUGGAUUUCUUAAUAAACUUGAAUUCCUGGGACUUAAUUUCUGCGAUAAGCUUACAGUGUUUCCAACAACAAUAAGCUUGAAAUCUCUGGAGUAUUUUAAUCUUUACGGUUGUGAAAAGUUUGAGAUAUUCCCGGAAAUUGUGGGCAAAAUGGAAAGCCUAAGUGAUUUGACAAUUGUUAGAACUGCUAUAAAAGAAUUGCCUCCAUCAAUUGAAAAUGUCACCGGGCUUUUACGCUUAUCGUUAGAUGAAUGUGAAAACCUUGCAAAUCUGCCGCAAAGCAUUUAUGCGCUGCCCCGUCUUGAACAUCUUGGUCUCAGUGGCUGCCCAAAGCUUGUUACACUCCCUCCGGAGCUUCCAACUAACUCAAACACUUCACUUGACAACUUUGGGUCAGUAGCACUUCCCAAUCUAGAGAGAGUAUAUUUUGAUGAAUGCAGUUUAUCGGACAUUGAUACCCUUGCAAAUUUCGGUUGCUUAUCUAAAUUACAAAGAAUUAGUCUAUGUAAUAGCAAUUUUGAGAGUCUUCCUGCAUGCAUUAGCAAAUUUGUGCGGUUGGAGACACUUGAUUUGUCUGGUUGCAAGAGACUUCGAGAAAUUUUAAAACUUCCACCAAAUAUAAGAUGGAUUAACGUUGGUGAUUGCAUAUUGCUGGAAAUAUUUCCAACAUUGUCAGAGAUGAUACGGGUAGACGGAGACACGAGACUCAUUCGUUGGAUGAACUUGUCUAAUUGCCAAAGGCUAUGCGAAAAUUUGGCUUUGGAUGUCUCCAAGAUGGCAAGCGUAUUACUGCAUCAGGCACUGUUCUCUCUCUCUCUUUUCCAUUUUUCCACUCUUCCAGUAUGAACGACUAAUUAACAUUCAUUAUAUGAAUCUUACAGGCGUGGAAGUGCUAUGAAGUGCCAAGUAUUAUACUUCCAGGCAGUGAAGUUCCAAAUUGGUUCAGUUGCCGUAAGGACGUACGUGUGGGGGUUGAUGGCUCUACAACUGAUCCUGGUUGUAUAUGUGAAAUAUUUAUUGAAAUCCCUCGGACUUUCAAAUGGAAAAACACAAUACUUGUUAUCUGUGCUGCUUUCACAAACACGCAAAAUGCAUAUUGCGAUUUUACGAUAGAGACUGCAGUCAAUGGAGUACGUAUAUAUGAGAGUGAUGUUUUAAUACAAUUAAUAUCAAAAAAGACAGAUGCAGCUCGUGUGUGGCUAACAUAUAUUCCAUUACCGGCUCACAUAAAGUCGAAGGUGGAUGAGGGUGGUGAUCAAUCAAAGCCGUAUCUGUGUCGAGUUCGUGUUUGCUGCGGAUCAUCAGAUGCGCCCCUCUUAAAAGGCUGCGGUGUCCAGGUGGGACUUCACAUUCUUCAACGCGUCCAAGAAGGCUUAAAUGGCUGCGGUGUCCACUUGGGAAAUUUCAGUAUGCCCGAGGAUGGUGGUGAAGAUGACGAUGAUGUAGGAGGUGAAGUUCGACCAAGAAAAAAGAAAAGGAUGCUGGCGAUCAAGGGUUGAAUGUGAGUUGCAACAUUUUCAAAUCUCUAGUCAUGUUUUUGUGAUGGUCAUUCUUGUUUUGAAAGUGUUUCUUCUGCUAACUCAACAAGUGUGGGGUUUUAUACAAAGUGCAAAUAGUGAAACCAUGAAAUAUAAACUGUAUUCAUUUCGGUCAGGUUUCCGACGUGGGACUUCACAUUCUUCAACGCGUCCAAGAAGGCCAUUGAUAUACGAUUCCUCUCAUCUCUCUCGUGUUUAAGGCAAGGAUUUGGCUCCAUUUUAACGCUCUCUCCUGUUUUUCUUCUGUUAGUUUUCAAUUCUUAGAAUUCUUUGUGAUUUUCGUUUAUGGAAAACUAAUCUCCAUAGCUACGGCUAGGAGAGAAACCUACACUGUAACUAUGUACUUCUAUUAUUUUGAUUUUAUUUUGGAUUUUCAGGUUGGAAUUUCUUAUUUAAUCUAUUUUUGGAAUGAUGAAUAUUAGUUAUGAUCCAUAGGAUCAACCCUUUUUUUCUUGGUAUAGUUCCGUUUCAACAUUCAUGCUUUCAAUGAACUGUAUAUAUUGAUUGAUUGGUAUGCUUUUGAUGACGUAGUUUUUUUUUAUAUUUUGUCGUUGUAGGCAUAAAUCGAACAUCCAAAAUGGAGAUUUAAUCACCAAAAGCUUUCAUAUUGAGAAAACUUAAUUGUCAUAGCUUCUGAUUGAGGGCGCACGUUGUUUGUUUAUCAGUUAAAGUUAUAAAAAUGAAUUGAAAUAGUGGAAUUGCAUAAUUGUAUAUAGGCAGAACCCCAAUGCUUUAAUGCUAUUUGGAGCAUAUGGUAUCUACAAAACAAGAUCCUGUUAUACCGCCUUCAGUUAAUGGAAUAGAAUUCCAUCUUGCUAAGCAUUUAAAAUGCCACAGAAAUGUUUCCACAGGAUGAGUCAACCGAAAUAUUUCCGCAGAUUUCCAUCUUGCUGGUUGUGCUAUAUAUAUGUUGGACAAUUUGAGCAUUACCCUGCUAAUCCAAUAUGGCUUUUCAGACGCAAACGCCUCAAAGUUUGUUACAUUUCCAGAUCAGGCAUCAAUCCUAUCUGGAUAAUUUCUUUAACAAGCCUCAAAGCUUCACCGAUUCUGUUGACCAAGGUUUUAUGGGAAGCAAUAUCAGGCGCAUAACCCAUAAUCACCAUUAAGUUCAAGACCACCUUCGCCUUUUCCAUUCUGCCCUGCAAACAAUAUUCACUAACCAGCAUACUGCAAGUUAUUGUGCUGAGUUUCAUACCGUAUUCAAUUGUUGCCUCAAAUAUUUUGUUAGUCUCUUCUGUCAUCCCAGCAUCCAAUAGUAUUACCAAAGUAACGGUAUCAGGCAAGAGUCCCCGGCCUAUCAUAUCAUCAAACAACCUUGUGGCCUCUUCCCAUUGAGCUGUACGGCACAUGCCAUUGGUUAAACUGUUGUAAGUGAUAACAUUUAGGGCAAUACCUUCAUCCAGCAUUCUAUUAAACACCCUUGUAGCUUCUCUCCAGUGGCUGGUCCAGCACAAUCCAUUAAUUAAGGAGCUGUAAGUCACAACAUCAGGCCUUUCCUCUCUACGGAUCAUUUCUUCCACAAGAUUCAGUGCCUCUGCUGUCUUCCCUUCCUUGCAUAAAGCAUCCAGUACAGAAUUAUAUGUAACAAUAUUAGGCAAGGCUCCAUAACCAAUCAUGGUUUUAAAUAAACUCACACCUUCCUCCCAGUUACCAGACUUGCAUGAAGCAGAAAUCAAGCAAUUAAAAGUGACAAGAUCAGGUUUUAUGCCUCUCAUUGUCAUCUUUUCAAACAGAGUAAGCGCUUCUUGAAUUCUUUCUUCCUUGCAAAUACCGCUGAUAAGAACAGUAUAUGUGUAUACACUGGGUGAAAUUCCACUGUCAAGCAUACAAAUCAAGAAGCUCUUGGCUUUUUCCAACCUCCCCGAUUGGCACAAUGCAUAAAUUAGAGCGGAGUAGGUGAGAACAUCUGGCCUGACUCCUUGAUCUUCCAUUGCUUCAAAAAGAGAGAACACUUCUUCCCAGCAAUUCAUGUUGCAUAACCCAUGAAUCAAAGUGUUAUAAGUGAUAAUACCCGGUACAACACUUUUGUAGAUCAUAUCUCUAAAUAGGGUCAAGGCCUCAUCUAUUCGUCUUUCUUUACAGAGGCUAUCUAUGAUGGGAUUGUAGCAGUCUUGUUUGGGCUUGAACCUUCCAUCUUCCAACAUAUUCGUAAGUAUCUCGAGUGCCUUAGAAGUUUUCCCAGCCUUGCAUAGCCGAUUGAUCAUGGUCGCAUAAGUGAUUUCAUCGCACGUGUAUCCCUUCUCUUCGAUUUCCUGGAAGAACUCCAAUGCCUCGGCCCGAGACUAU